UCAUUCGAGUCUAUAAGAAGCAGAAGGCAUAGGCCUGCACGAAGCCAAGCCCCAGCCACUGACUGAUGGACUGACUGACUUGGGCUACCUUUAACCCGGAGAUCCACUCUCCUCUGACCUACAGCUGGCUUGCUUUCUUGCCUUGUUAUGAGUGCUCGCUCCCUUCACCGACCCACCUCCCUUUAUUCUCCUUCCUUGCUUCUAUUACCGUUCUUUCUUUCUCUUCCCUUCUUCUUUUGCCUAGACCGACUGCCCAUGCUCACAUCUCAGAACUCAGAAAAUUAGUUUCGAUAAAAUUUAAAAAAAAAAUAAUAAUAAUAAUUAUAAUUGUAAUUAAAAAAAUUAUUGUAAUUGCAGUUGAAAAAAAUUCGAGAAAAAUUUUAUAUUGAAUAAACCUAGUUUGUCAUAACAUUUAGGUUAUCAUUAGAUACAAAAAUUAUAAAGUCAUUAAAUUUUUUUUAGGUUUGAGAAUCUAUUCUUUUUAAGUUUACCUUUAAGUAUAAACUAAAAAUUAAAAAAAAAAUAAAUUAUGAUAAGGAUUUUAAAAAAUAAUAGAUUUUGAUCUGCAUAUUCCGAAAUAAUCACAGAAGGUAUUAGCAUUCUUUGAUAUUCAAAAUUGAUAUUAAAUUAAUUAUGUGUUAUUUAAUUUAAAUCUUGUCAAAAAGUUUUUUAUUAUACAAAUGAAUCAAUUCCAAUCUUUUUAUUUAUUUACAACACAUGGUUAUAUAAAAAUUCUAUCAAGAAUAUCAAGCAAUUAUGUAAUCAUACAAUAAAUAUUAAAUAUAUAAUACUAAAAUUAUCAUGCAAAUAUAUUAUAAAUCAUACCAAAUAUCAUGUAAUAAUAUCAUGCCUAAAUCAUGCUAAAAUAUUCAUGUAGAAUAUCAUGUAAAUAUAUUAAUUAUCAUGCAAUAAUAAUAAUAAUAUAAAUACAUAAUAUCAUGUAAAUAUAUUAUCAUGUAAUAAUAUAAAAUAUCAUGCAAAUAUAUUAAUAACCAUUCAUGUAAAUAUAUAAUCACACAAAAAUAUUAAUAAUGAUGUACAAUCAUACAAUUAUGCACACAAUAAAUAUAUAAACAUGUAAUUAAAUAUCAUUCAAAUAUAAUAUUAAUCAUGCUUUAAUAUAUAAUAUCAUAUCAUGCAAUAAAUAUAAAAUCAUGCAAUAAUAAUAAUAAAUAAAUAACCAUGCAAAUAAAUAUAUUAAUAAUCAUUAAUCAUACAAAUAAACAAAUUAAUAAUCAUGCAAAUAGACAUGCAAUUAAAUAUAUAAUUAUGCAAUUAACAAUGUAAAACAUGAAAUUAAAUAUAUGAUCAUGUAAAUAAUAAUAUAAACCAUACAUAUAAACAUGCAAUUAAAUAUAUAAUCAUACAAAUAAAUAUAUCAAUAAUCAAGCAAUUAAAUAUAUUAAUAAUUAUACAAUCGAAUUAAAUAUACUCAUUUUAAUAUAUAUAUAUAAAUAAUCAUGCAAAUAUAUUAAUAAAUCACAUAAAUAAAUAUAUUAAUCAUGCAAAUAAAUAUAUUAGACAAAUAAUUUAUUAUACAAAUAUAAUAUUAGUCAUGCAAAUUCAUGCAAAAAUAAAUAUCAUGCAAUAAAUAUAAAAAUAAUAGUAAGCAAUUAAAUAUUAUAAAAGUUAUGCAAAAAUUACAAAAAAAAAAAAGCAAACAUUACUUCAAUGGUUCCAACAAAUUUUCACCUUUUAAACAUGCUUCAAACAAUAAAUCUUAGCCUCUUUAAUUAGAGCUCCUUGCAAAAAUUUUUUUGUUUAAUUGUUUCUUUCUUGUUGAUUCAAAACUUUGCUCAAUUUUAUUUUCUUUUUAAUGAUCUUUAUUUGAUCUUGAAGUGAAUGGCUGUGAAGUUCCCUCAUUUUGAUUUUAAAUUCAAGGUUCUUAUAUAAGGAUCGAAUCUUUUUCGAUUUAAAAAUAAAUUAAUUCAAUCAAAUCUAGAAUUUUUCUUCAAAUUGUAUUGUUUGUGUAAUCUUCCUUUUCAAUAGAUUGAGUUCCAAGUAUUUUCAAAAUUAUUUAACCAUUAAAGAUAAAAUUUGAGAUAGAAUUUAAGAGUUAAAUUAAAUCUAAGAUUUUUCAUACAAAAUCUCACUUUUUUUUAUUUUUACUUUUUUUUUUUAUUUUUUUACCAAUUGAUUUUGACUUUUUUGACUAAAAAAAUAAAAAUUAAACUACAAAAUUAAAAUACAAAUAAAAUUUAAGGCUUAAUCUUUGGAUCCAAAAUUUACUUUUUCAAUUAAGACUUAAUUGUACAAUCAAAAUUAAAAUUUAAAACCUAAUGAAUUUUAAAAAAUUCUCAAACAAAAUAACGCAUCUAUAUAGUUGAUAUUUGAAUUCAAUUAAUGGUGUGAUGAACUUAAUCCAGUAUAAUGAAAUCAAACCUAACCUAAGAAAUUGAUAAGAUGAAAUUAGCUUAUACUAACCAACAUCGAUAUCCAAUGCAAAACCCUUCUUACCAAACGGGAAGAUAUAAUCAAGGUGAUGAAAAUUUUCAUUUUCUAUAUGCAAAAAUCUCCAGCUUCAACUAGCUUGUAAUUAUCUAUCCUUAGUGAAUAUAUAAUUCCAUAAACAUGAAAGAUAAAACUGAAUGUGAGGUUGUCAAGAUAAUAGCCACAAAAGAACUUUCAAGGAUCUUAUGCAUAAACGAGAAUAAAUUUUAAAAAUAAAUAAAUAUAUUCGGCAUUCAUAAAGAAAUUAUAUAUAUUCUCCAAUUAUCCAAAUUUAUUGCAAUUACACGUAACAAAUCUAGUACCAUAAUUAAUUAUAGCACAGUUUGAGUAUGUGAAUGAAUUGCUGUAAUAUCCCCAAAAUCACGAUUCUAUAAUCAAUAAAGGAGCUGAUAAUUUUUAUUGUACAAUGUAAGAUAAGGUUUUUAAAUCUUGAUAGAAUUACAAUUUAGAUUGAUAAUUAAAUAUUAUCUAUUAAAAAGAAAAAGAUUAAUUAAGAUUAAUGCAAUUAAGUUUAAAUUUCGACAUCUUAAAUCCCACUUUUUUAUGAAUAAUUUUAACUAUUAUUAUCAUUUUUUAAAGGAUAAUGAAAUGGAUUUGGAGUACUUAUUUAUCAAAAAAGAUUAAAAAAUUUUUUUUUGAGUUGUUGGCGAAUUCCAUAUGAUUGCAAUUAAAACUUAACUUGAGUAUCAAGCGAAAAAUAUUUUUAUCUUUGUUGAUGGUGACUCAAUGUGUUUCCUUAACCAGGCAUGUUUUUUCUUUUGAUUUAAUCUAUUUCAAUCAGAAUUUUUUUAUGCAAAAAUAAAUAUUAGGAUUGAUUUGCAAGUUAAUGCAUGCAGCAUAGUUUCAUGGUUUUGCAUUUGCUACUUCUAUUUAUCAUUCAAAAAUGGAUAUGAUUGCUUAGAGUGCUGGUACGAAUAUAUUCCCAGGUUAAUUGCAAUAAGAAUGAAGUAUAGUUUUAUUCUACGUAGUUUUGAUAUAACUUUAAGGUUAGAUAAAUAUCUAUUAAAAGUAAACUACAUAUUAAUUAAAAUAAAUGAAAUUGAUGGUUACUUUCCACAUAAAAAAAAAAAAAAAGAAAAAGUGCUUGAGUUUCAAACAAAUUUCAUGAUUGCGGUUAUAACUUAACCAAGCGAAAAAUAGAUAAGGUGCAUGCCUCCAAGUUUCAACAGCUAUGCUUUGGUUUGAUUUUAAUUGCUUAAUUAAUUACUUCAUUAUAAUUGUUUUUUGUGAACAAUUAUUUUUUUAUAAAAUCGUUAAAUUCAAUAUAAUAAAUUUAUUUGAAUUAAUUUAUGAAAAGAACAUAUUGAGCAAAAUAAAAAAAAAACUUUACUGUUUAAUAAAAAAAUUAUACGUUCAAAAAUAAUUAAUUAUAAUAUCUACCUAUUAAAACGGAAAGAAUUAAGAGACCAAGAAUGAUUACAAAACCCUAGUUUUAUUAAAGAAUUAGAUUAAGACCUCAUAGAAAAGAUCUAGAAACAAGAAAAGAAAGAUUUCCAAAAUAGAAAUAUUACCCAUUAAUUAUAAAAGAUAUAAAAUAACUGAUAGAGAAUAUAGAUAUUAAAACUAUUAGCUACCUUGUAAAAGUCAGCUAAUAGUGUGAAGAAAGAGAUCAUAUUUUGAAGGAAUAAAAAAAAUACAUUUUUAGCUAAAAUUAGACCGACAGAAAAAAAAAAUCCAGCAUACCAUGUGGUUUAAUAGUAAAAAAAAAAAAAAAAAAGCUUAAUUGGAGAAUAUAAGAUAAGGAAUGAUAGAAUAACAAUUUAGAUAAAUAUCUAAUAAAAAUGAAAAAAAAAGAUUAUCUAAAAUUAAUGCAAUUAAUGGUUACAUUGACAUCUUAAAUCUAACUAUUAUUGUCAUUUUUUUAAAAGAUAAUCAAAUUCUGUAUGCAAAAGAGGAAGAGAAAUUUUAAUGGUAUGCAUAUUAUAUUCCCUGCAGGUUAAUUGCAAUAAUAAUGAAGAAUGAAAUAGCUCCUGUUGGGAUUGAAGUAGUUUUACUCUUUAUAUUGCUUUUCUUCAUAUCUUCCGUAGCCUUUGGUGAAAUGUGGUUUGGCAUAUAAAAGUUCAAAAUGGUCUUGAAUCAUCCGGAGCAGAACCAAUUGGUGUUGACCAGUAUUCGUUUUUAUGGCAUUGACUUGGGUUUGUUUCUCCCCUCCGCCAUUUUUUGGGGUGUGACUCCCACAAGGCUGCAAGAGAGUUGAAUGGUAGUGAGAAUGCAGAUGAGUGCAAAGAAACUAGAUCAGUUCCAGUUUGGUCCAAGUUAUUUUUUAUUUUUUAUUACUUAGGCUUUACUAUUUCCCUUGUCUCGGCUAUUUGGUUUCCAUUCAGUACCCUUCAUGAAAUUUGCAAGAAAUAUAGUACUUAUAUUAAUUCUCCAUUUUCAGAUGUUGAGAGUGUUCAACCCAAGGUAAAAUUAGGAAUGGUGCUUGGGGAAAGUGAUGAGGCAGGCUCUUGAAACCUCUAGGUAGUAUGCUUAUGAUAACUCCUUUUUCUAGUACAUUAAUUUAUUAUGUGUUAAUUUUCUAUUUUCUUUUAGCAAACAUUUGCUCUGCUUUAAGAAUAUAUACUUUUCUUAAUAUUUUCCUCACUUUUGUUCUUUGUCUCCUUUUUUUUUCUUUUCUAAUAAAAAAAAAAACUCUUAAUUGAUUUUGCCUUUUUCACAAUAUAAUUCAUAAUCACUAAACACCUUGCAUUUGGCAGCUUAAGAAAUUGAUAAGGUCAAAUUAACUUUUAGUAGCUCUUUUUAAAAAUGACCAUUGAUAGCUUAAUUUCCAAAAUUAUAUGCCAUGGGCACUUAAAUAUCAUAUCGUUCACCAUAUACAAUCAUGACUCUUUUUUGUUUUUUAAAUUAUUUACUUCAUGAUUCAAAAAUGCGUGUACACACACAUACACAUACACACACGCAUAUAUAUAUAUAUAUAUAUAUAUAAACAAAGAACUUAAAUAUAUUUCAAAUGAUCUUUAAUUAGCUAAAAUAAACUUUAAAGUAUGUAGUCUAAUAUAAGAAAACAAAUUUUCAUGCUUGAGAUUCAAAUGGACCAAAACAAAAUUAGGAACAUAAAUAUGUUCUAAAUGAUCCUUAAUUGGUUGAACUAAACUUUAAAUUAAUCUAGAUUGAAAAAACAAAUUUCAUGCCUGAGGUUCUAGCUGUGGUUGAGGUUGAGGUGUACAAACACAAAUACACACUUAGAUUUCUUCCAAUUUGUCAUUGGGUGUGGCCAUGUUCUCUUUAGGAAGAGCAUCCAAAUCAUAUACUUGGCCUUGACGUUGGAUGUGAGUAGGACUUUUGUUGAUGUGGUGGAUUAUAAACAUUAUUAUAUUUAACAUCAAAGGCACUGUAGAAAGUGGGAUGCAAUUGUUCUACUUAUUGUAUUCAAACGAUUGAAAGAAGCAACAUGCUAAAAGGAAAAUAUAGGUGACAAUCUGUGACCACUCUUUCUUAGUGAGCAUUUCAUAACCCUUUUUAAAUAUGGUUAUAAAUAUUGGCCUCAAAUAAAGCCCACAUAAAACUCCUGAAAUGAUGAAAGAGUCAUAUACCAAUCCUAUCAAAGUUUCAAAAAAUAAAUCAACUAUCCAACUUAUAGUUUCCAAUGUUAAUAUAAAUUGUUAAAGAGUAAUCCAAAAUUUAGUUCACAUAUGAGCUUAACAUCUGGUUCUUAUGAUAUAGUUGUUAGUUAGUUAUUAUACUUGGCUAGAGUGAUUCCUAAUAUUCAGCUACUAUUUUUACAUUUUUUCAAUUAUCUGUUAACUAUUGUAAUUUUUAUGCUUCACAUUCUCUAGUUAGUUUAGUUUUUUUACUCAUGCUAGUUAUCAUUUAAGCCUAUUAAAAGGUUGUUUGAAUUUAAUAAAAAUAGUACAAUUUAUGUGCAAUUACCCAAUAUCAUUUAAGCCUAUUAAAAUGUUGGUUGAAUUUAAUAAGAACAGUGCAAUUUAUAAGCAAUUAUCCAAAAUUGAUUCUUUCUUUUACCUCGGUGAUUUAACUUAAGAAAACCUAGCUUCUUACCUAACAAAUUUUUGGUAUCAAAUCCUUAAGAUCCUUAUCAAAUUUUUGUAUCAUUGGAUUGUUAAUGAUGGUAGUUAAUGACAGUUUAAAUGUCGUCCCAACCUUUCAUUCUUGUGUUUGACAAAAAACAUUACAGACUUCUGGAGUAUCAAGAUGAAGACUUUUUUAAAAUUUUAAGAUCUUUGAGAUUUUGUAGAAACCAAAUACAACGAGAAUGAUAAUGAUGAAGAAUGGCUUAAAGACAAGAGAAAAGAUUCUAAAAUACUAUUUAUCAUUCGGUAGUCAAUUCAUAUGACAUUUUUCUCUAAGAUUGUAGCAAUCAACAUUUUAUAAGAAGCUUGAGAAACUUUAUAGAUAGAGUUUCAAAGGUUAUUGCUAUGAAACUCCAAACCCUUUGACAUGAGUUUGAAACGUUGAUGAUGACAAUCAAUGAAGUAGUGCAAGAUUUUUUUUCUAAAGUAAUUUUUAUUGUUACUCAACUAAGAUCUUAUGGUGAUAAGAUUACUAACAAGACUAUUGUUUUUAAAGUUUUACGAAGCUUAAAUCCAAAGUUUGAUCAUAUAAUUGAUGUAAUAUAAGAGUUUAAGAAUUUGUCUAUAUUUUUUUUUUUGAUGAACUAAUGGGUUCUUUACAAACUCAUAAGGUAAGGCUGAACAGAUCAUAAAAAAAAAAUUGAUGAGAAGGCAUUUCAAGUGAAUAGGAAGAAAAUUAGAAAGGAAGUGUUCGUUGGUAAAGAGCGUGUCAAAAUAGGCUUUCAUAAAAAGAACAUGGCAGAGGUAAAAGAAGAGGCCAUUCUGAUGGACAAGAGAGAUAAUCUAUCAAUAAACACAAAAGGAAAAAGAACGUUGUUCAGUGUUACAAUUGUAAGAAAUUUGAGCAUGUAAAGGCAAAUUAUUAGAAUCAAGUGAACUAUGCGUAAGAAAAAAACAUAGAAAGUAAGUUAUUCAUGGCCUAUUUUCCUAUUAAUGAAGUUUCAAAUGAUGUUUGAUUUAUGGAUAGUGGUGCCUGAAUUAGGGCUGUAAACGAGCCGAGCCGAGCCGAGUAGUGAGAAGCUCGAGCUCGAGCUCGACUCACAACUCGGGGCUCGAUACUCGGCUCGAGCUCGAUCGAGUUUUAUUUUUCAAGCUCGAGCUCGAUUCGUGAUCGAAUUCGAGCUACUCGAGCUCGUUCGAUUAAGCUCGAUUAAUAUGUAAAAAUAAGCUCGAUUUGUAUACUCGACAAGAGUUCGAUUAUUCAUGCUCGAACUCGAACUCGGAUUCGAAAUAUUUUUUUAAUUAAAAAAAAUAAAAAUAUAUUUAAAUAUAAAAGCUCGAUUAGGCUCGCGAACUACUCGAGUCAGAUAUAAGAAUACUCGAAUUCGGCUCGAUCGAUAAGUCGAGCUACUCGAGCUCGAGCUCGACUCGACAAUAAUCGAACCGAAUUCGAGUUUUUUUCGAAUCGAACCCGAGUAGCUUGCGAGUACUAAUGUAUCAUUUACACCCCUAGCCUGAAUCAUAUGAUCCCUAAUAGAUCGUUGUUUAAGAAACUUGACGAUUCACAAAAGUUACAAGUCAAACUUGGGGAUAACAAGCAAAUAUAAGUUUAAAGAAAAUGAACCAUUGUAGUAAAGGCAAGCAAUGGUAAAAUAAAAUUACUUUAUGAUAUCUUCAUUAUUUUCAAUUUGGCACAUAGUUUGUUGAAUGUUGGACACCUAAUAGUUGGUGGAUUUGCAAUUGUGUUUGAAAAUUGAGUACGUGUGAUUAAAGAUAAAUUUGGGCAACCUAUGGUGAAUGUGCAUAUAAUAGAAAAUAAGGUGUUUCCAAUUAAUAUUUCUAAUAUGGAAAAGUAAGCUCUUAUUGUUAGUAGGAAUGAUGAAUCAAAAUUGUGACAUCUGCGAUAUGAAUAUCUCAAUAUCAAAGGCUUGCAGUCACUAAGUAAAAAAUGUAUAGUUCUUGAAUUACCUCAAAUUAAAUCUCUUGAUUUAUGUAAAUGUGUAUUUAUGAGAAAUAAGCAAGAAAGUCAUUUCUAAAUAGACAGUCGUGGAAAGCCUUUUAGUACCUGGAAUUAAUACAUGCCAAUUUCUAUGGGACUAUGAAAACUACAUCACUUGAUGAGAAUAAGUAUUUUUUGCUAUUUAUUGAUGAUUGUAGUUGAAUGAGUGUAGACACCGGUUUUGUCCGAGUCUACUAAUAAUAAUAAUAAUAAUAAUAAAUAUAUAUUUUUUAAAAAAUAAUUAUUAAUUAAUUAAAACAAAACAAAAACAAAAAAAAGAAACAAAAAAUGGUAAAAAGCAGGGCGGUUGAAGCCUGGCACCAGUCACCCUGUAGUCGGCACUAGUCGUCCACUCUCCUACCCAACCAGCCCCCUGUCCAGCCACCAGACCAGACAGUCACCCUACAGCCACCCUACCACCACCUGUUCCCUUUUGAACUCCUUAAAAAUCCACAACUUCUUACCUUUGAUUAGCUCUCUUCGACCCCUCCUCUCAAAAACCUUCGAACCCCACCUUUUCGAAAACUCUUAAACAAGGAAUAAACCUUUCUCGAAAAGCCUUCGAAUAAAUCCUCGAAACUUCUUCCUUCAACAACCCCAAACACCACACCAAAUCCAUACUCAAAUAGAAACGUAAAAAUAGAAACAAAAAACAAAGACAAAUAAUCCCCUCGUAGGGAAGAACCUCAACGCCAAGCUCUUUACAAAAACAAAGAAAAUAGAUCAGUUUAAUCUAAAAAAAAAAAAGAAGGUAGAAAACUUCAAGCCCCGAUCUACUACGAUCGGGGCUGUUUUCGGUGAAAAAAAAUUAGAUCUAGAAAAAAGGCAUUGAAAAGAGCUGUCAAAAUAAUUUUUGCAUUUUUCGACGAUCGAAAACCACCGACAACGAUCGUCGAUGGUGACCCAGGCGGUUGCCGACGUGGUGGUCUAGCAAUCGGACAGUGAGAGCCCCAAAGCUCUUUUUUUUUUUUUUUUUGAAACAGAAAAGAAUAAACCAAAAAAAAAUCUUUAGUUAUAUAUGGGAAAACAAAACUCAAAACAACGUCGUUUAGGGAAAAACCCAAAACAACACCGUUUUAGUUAAGUAAGAUCCGCGCAUGGACCUGGAUUCGACCCGAGAUUCGUGUAAACCAACCUGUCAACCCGCUUCAGCCAACUUUAAAUCGGUCUAGACGAAUCGUCAGUGAACCGGUCAAAUCAGUUUGAACCACCGGACUAUCCGAACCGCUGAUUGAAUCGUCAAAUCGAUCAGACCGAUCUAGACCAACGUUGACCAGAUCGUUGACCGGUCCGGUUCAGGUAAAAAAUUUUUUUUUUGAAUUUUUGAAUUUUUUAUAUAUUAUUAUUUUUGUUAUUUUAAGUAUUUUUUUAUAUAUUGAUGCAUGAUAAAUUCUUAAAUUUGUUAGAAUAAAUAUUUAAUUGUUUUAAUAAUAAUAAAAUUGAAAACAAGUAAUAAUUAAAAAUAUAUAUUAAAAAUGCUUAAAUAAUAAUAAUAAUUGAAUAAUUUUUUUGUUUUCCUUGUCUAGAUGUUGGAGGGAAUUAAAUCAUGUUUUAAAAAUAAUAAUUUCGCCUAGAUGUUGGAGAAUUAUUAUUAUAAAAAUACUAAACAAGUUAAUAAUAUUGAAAAUAAGUUUUCAUAAAAAAUGAUUUAAAAAAUAUAUUUUAAAAUAAAAAAAUUUUAUGUUUCUUAAAUUAAUUUUUAAAAAAAAAUUUAUAAAAAUUGAACUUGUUCCGAAAGUCCGCCUAGAUGUUAGGAAUUUUUAGAGAUGUUUGUGUUUUAAUUAAACUCCAAACUUCCAAACCCUAAACCUUUACCCUAAAUCUAUUUUAAAACUUUAAGGAUACGUGUGAAAAUCUCACAUAAAAUGGUUUGUUUCUGAAUGCUGCUUAAAUGAUGGGGUAUUUAUGAAACUCCAUUUCAUUAAGUUUUUCACACGAGUUCUUAAUUCACAUUAAUAAUAAGAUUAAUAAAUAAAAAAUAAACAGUAAAUUGAGAUCUUAAAUAUAAACAGUCGCACCUAAGCUCUGCCUAGAUGUUGGAGAGUCAGGGUGGCCUCAUUAUACUUAAAAAUCUAACUUUUAAAUUGCAUCUCAUCCUACAUAACAUUCAUUGGCAUACAUUCGUUAGCAUGUUAUUAUUAAUAAUUAUUUGCACUAUUCUGUCUUUAAUUUUUAUUUACUACUUGGUGAUAAAAUAUUUUAUAAUAAAAAAAGAAUAAUACUUUUUUUUAAAAAAUUGUGAUAUUACAAAAUAAAAAAAAUAUUUCAAAAGAAAUAAUUCUUGGUACUCUGUCUAGAUGUUGAAGAGUCACCAACAAUUUUUUAUAAAGAGUGUUAUUUCAUUUUAAGGAUUGUUGUGUUAAAUCUUAAGCGAAAAGAGUUAUUUUAAAUUCUGUCUAGAUGUUGGAGAAUUUUAAGAUAAUUUUUUAACUUAAAGAUUUUUUCAAUAUUUCUAAAUAAAAAUUUUAGCAAAAAUAUUUUUUAAAAACGAAGGGAAUUAGUAUUAAAUUUCAAGUCAAAACCAUUUUUAUCCAACACCGAAAAUAAUGCAUAAUUAAAUAGUACCAAUUUAUAGGCGUUGUGGGGGUGCUAAUCCUUCCCUACACGUAACCGACUCUCGAACCCAACCUAGUUUUUCAUAGACCAAAAUUUAUCUUUUUGAUAAACUUUAAACUCAUUUUUAUAGUUUUAUUAAAAAGAUAAACUUUUGGGUGGCCAAUCAGACCCUAACAAAGAUUGGUGGCGACUCUUUUUUAUUUUUUUCGAUUUUAAAACACCUUAUGUCUGGCAGUCCCAAAAUCGUUAUGACAACGAGUUGAGUUUAUUUUCUAACCAACAAAUCAGAGAAUUUUAAGAGUUUUAAAAAAUUCAAUGCUCUUGUGAAAAAGCAAAGUGGUGCUUUUAUAAAGACUCUUUACACUAAUCAAAGAGGAAAAUUUUUAUCUAAUGAGUUUAACCUUUUUUAUGAGGAAAAUAGCAUUCACAGGGAAUUAACUACACCUUAUACUCCAAAGCAAAACGGUGUAGCUAAAAGAAAGAAUCAUACCAUUGUGAACAUGGCUAGAAGCUUGUUGUAAGUUUGCUAAAUCUUUCUCCUACAAAAGCAAUCCUCAAUCAAACAUCUUAUAAAGUUUGGAGAGGUACAAAGCCUACGGUAAACCACUUGAAAAUUUUUAGUUGUGUUGUAUAUACUUUAGUUAAUUGUCAAGUUCAUCAUAAACUUGAGGAAAAUUUUGAAAAAUGCAUUUUGUGAGAUAUUGCACUCAAUCCAAAAUAUAUCGUCUAUAUAAUCCUCUUAGUGGCAAGGUGAUUAUUAGUAGAAAUAUGGUCUUUGAUGAAGAUACAACUUAGGAGUGGAAUGGCAUAAACGAGACAACUUAAAUUCUAAAUUCAAGUGAAAGUGAGAAUCCAAAUGAGAAUGCAGUAAAAAAAAAUGUUAAAUCAACCCCUAUAAACUCUCCAGUCAGUUCUUAUUCAUCGGCUUCCUUAUUGCACUUCUCACUUUCAACCUCACAACAUAGUAGUUCACUUUUUUUGAAAAAAUUAUCAUAUGAAACAGCUCUAAGAAAGUUUAGAUCUUUGAAGGAUAUUUAUGAAACUGAUCAAUUUGCUCUCCUUGUUUCAAAUUUUAUAAUUUUUGAAUAAAUAGCAAACCAAGAAAAAUGGCAUAAUACAAUGCAAGAAAAGAUGAUGGCAACUUAAAAGAAUAAAACAGGAGAAAUGGUAGAUCUACCUAAAGGCAAGAAUGCAAUUGGCCUCAAAUGGGUGUUCACAAUGAAGUAUUGUGCUGAUGGAACCAUACAAAAGCACAAAGCUAGGUUGGUGGUGUCAUAACAUUUAGGUUAGAAUAACCUAUCCAUUAGACACAAAAAUUAUAAAGUUGUCAUCAAUCUUUUUUAGCUAGGUAUGAUUGGCUACCUAUGUGAGUUUAUCCUUUUUAAGGUUAUCCUAAACUAAAGUUGAAGGUCUUUAAAAAGAAUAAGUUCUAGUCUAUAUCAACAGAACUAAGAUUCGGGAGUCGAUUACGUAUAAGGAAGAUAUUAGCACCCCUUUACACCUAAAAUUGGUAGCGAAUUAAUUAUAUAUUACCUAAAUUAAACCUUAAUAAAAAAUGGUUUUAUCAUGCUAAUCAAACAAUUCCAAUCUUUUUAUUUAUUUACAAAAUAUGGUGAUACAAAAAUUCUAUCAAGAAUAUCAAGCAAUCAUGUAAUCGUGCAAUAAAUGUUAAAUCAUAUCAUGCAAUAAAUCAUGCAAAUAUAUUAUAAAUCAUACCAAAUAUCAUGUAAUAAUAUCAUACCUAUAUUAUGCUAAAAUAUUCAUGUAAGAAUGUCAUUUAAAUAUAUUAAUUAUCAUGCAAUAAUAAUAAUAAUAAUAAUAAUAAUAAUAAUAAUAAUAAUAAUAAUAAUAAUAAUAAUAAUCAUCAUCAUCAUCAUCAUCAUCAUGUAAAUAUAUUAUAUCAUGCAAAUAUAAAAUACCAUGCAAAUAUAUUAAUAACCAUUCAUGCAAAUAUAUAAUCAUAAAAUCAAAUAUAAGCACACAAAUAUAUUAGUAAUGAUGCAAAUAUAUAAUCAAAAAAUCAAAUAUAAGCACACAAAUAUAUUAGUAAUGAUGUAUAAUCAUGCAAUUAUGCACACAAUAAAUAUAGAAACAUGCAAUUAAAUAUCAUUCAAAAAUAAUGUGAUCAUGCAAUAACAUAUAAUAUCAUAUCAUGCAAUAAAUAUAAAAUCAUGCAAUAAUAAUAAAUAAAUAAAUAAAUAACAAUGCAAAUAAAUAUAUUAAUAAUCAUACAAUCAAACAAAUAAAUAAAUUAAUAAUCAUGCAAUUAACAAUGUAAAUCAUGCAAAUAAACAUGCAAUUAAAUAUAUAAUUGUACAAAUAAAAAUAUAUAAACCAUACUAAUAAAUAUACAAUUAAAUAUAUAACCAUCCAACUAAUAAUACAUAAAUCAUGCAAAUAAACAUGCAACUAAAUAUAUAAUCAUGCAAAUAAUAAUAUAUAAAUCAUACAAAAAAUAUGCAAUUAAAUAUAUAAUCAUGCAAAUAAAUAUAUUAAUAAUUAAACAAUUAAAUAUAUUAAUAAUCAUGCAAUCAAAUUAAAUAUAAUUAUACAAAUAAAUAUAUUAAUAAUCAUGCAAAUAUAUUAAUAAAUCACAGAAUAGAUAUAUUAAUCAUGCAAACAAAUAUAUUAGGUAAUUAAAUUAUCGUGCAAAGAUAAUAUUAGUCAUGCUAAAAUAAAUACCAUGCAAUAAAUAUAAAAAUAAGAGUAAGCGAUUAAAUAUUAUAAAAGUUAUGUAAAAAUCACAAAAAAAGAAAACGAAUAUUACCUCAAUAAAUUACAGGUUCCAGCAAUUUUUCACCUUUUAAAAAUUGAUACUUCCUACUAUAAAUCUUAAUAUUUCUUUUAAAAACUCUAAUUGAAUCUUCUUGCAAAAUUUUUUGCUUGAUUGCUUCUUUUUUGUUAAUUCAAAACUUUAUCUAAAUUUUCUCUCUUUUCAAUGACUUCUAUUUGAUUUUGAAGUCAACUGUUAUCAGGCCCCUAUUUGAUCACAAAUUCAAGGUCUUUUUAUAAGGAUUGAUUCCCUUUCAAUUUAGAAAAAAUUAAUUCAAGUGAAUCUAGGAUUUUUUUUCAAAUUUUAUUUUUUGUGUAAUCUUUCAUUUUUUUAAUUGAUUAAAACCUCAAAUCUUUCCAAAUUAUUCAACCAUUAAAGUUAAAAUAUGAGAUAAAAUCCAAUAAUUGAAUUGAAUCCAAGAUUUUCUAUGCAAAAUCUCACAUUUUUUAUUUUUUACCCUAUUUUUUAUUAAUUGACUUUGACUUUUUUAAUUAGAAAAACAAAAACUAAACAAAAAAUUAAACUGAAAAAUUAAAACACAAAUAAAAUUUAAGGCUUAAUCAUUUGGAGCUAAAAUUUACUUUUCCAAUUAAGGCCUAAUUGCAUAAUCAAAAUUAAAAUUCAAAACCCAAUGAAUUUUGAAAAUUCUUUAGACAAAAUAGAGUGUUUAUAGGUGAUAAAAGGAUAGUCGCACCAACAAGGUAUUGAUUUCGAAUAAACUUUUUCUGCAAUUGCUAGUUUUGAAAUUGUGAGAAUUAUUUUAGCCUUGGCUACACAACUUCAUUUGUCUGUUUAUCAAUUUGAUGUCAAGUCAACAUUUUUAAAUGGAGACUUAAAAAAAGAGGUGUAUGUUAAUAAACCUGAAAGGUUCAUGAUCAAAGGCAAGGAGACAAAUGUGUACAGGUUAAAAAAGGCACUUUACAGGUUAAAGUAAGCACCACGGGUAUGGUAUAGUAAGACUGAUAACUAUUUUUGUCAAAAUAGCUUCAUAAGGAGUGAAAAUGAGCCUACUCUUUAUGUGAAGAAGCAAUGAAAAUAUGAUUUUAUAAUUAUUUACCUUUAUGUUGAUGAUAUUAUUUAUAUGGGCUCAUGUGAUUCUCUUGUUGUUGAAUUUAAAUCUAACAUGAUAAAGUAAUUUGAGAUGUUAGACAUUGGUUUGUUACAUUAUUUUUUGGGGUUUAAGGUAAAGCAAAGUAUGGAUGAAAUUUUCAUUUCACAAAGGAAGUGUGCAAUGGAUCUACUCAAAAGAUUUAAUUUGCUCAAUUGCAAUCUAGCUCUUACAACCAUGAACAUGAAUGAGAAGUUACAACUUGAAGAUGAUUAAAAAAAGGCUGAUGUAAAAACUUUUAGAAACUUAGUAGGAGAUUUGAUUUAUCUAACCCAUACUAGACCAAAUAUUGUAUUUUCUAUUGAUGUAAUCUCUAGAUUUAUGCAAAGUCUCAUAAAACAUCAUCUUAGAAUGACAAAAAAAGUCUUACGCUAUAUUACCAGAACUAGUAAUUUUGGGAUUUGGUAUUGGCAAAUUACAAAUUUCAAAUUAUAUAGAUUCACGAAUAAUGAUUGGGCAAGUUCAUUGGAUGAUAGAAAGAGUAUUUCGACAAGUGUUUUCACUAUUGGAUCAAGUGUCAUCACAUAAAUUUCAAAAAAACAAGCUACAACAGCUUUAUUAUCUUUAGAAGCUGAGUAUAUAGCAACAACUUUAGCAACUUAUCAAGUAAUUUAAAUUAAACGACUUUUCGCAAAUUUUUGUCAGGUUCAAGAUAAAGCAACUAAACUUUUUUAUGAUGACAAGUCAAAAUUGCUAUGACAAAAAAUCUGACAUUUCAUGGGAGAACAAAAUAUAUCGACAUUCGUUUUCAUUUUAUUUAGUUAUAAAUGGCAUAAUCAAAAUAAAGCAUUGUGGAACGGAUAAAUAACUAGCAAAUCUUCUUACCAAAACACUUCUAAGAGCUAAAUUUUUCUACUUCAAAUUACAUCUUAAAGGAUGUGAUUUUGAAUUAAAGGGAAAUGUUGAAGAGUGAUCCAAAUUUUAUUUCACGUAUGGCUCAACAUCCUGAUUCGUAGGAUAUAAUUGGUAGUUAAUUAUUCUAUGUGGUUGGGUGAUUCUUAAAAUUUAACCACUAUUUCUUCACUUUUUCAUUAUCUGUUAACUAUUAUAUUUUUAUGCUUUACAUUCUCUAGUGAGUUGAUUUUUUUACUUGUGUUAAUUAUCUUGUAAGCCUAUUAAAAAGCUAGUUGAUUUUAAUAAAAACAAUGUAAUUUAUGUGCAAUUACCUAAAAUCUAUUCUUUCUUUUGGUUCAAUGAUUUAAUUUUAAAAAACCUACCCCCUUAAAUAACUCUAAAAUGUAUGAUAAUUUGUCAAGUAAUUUGUAAAAAGAAAAAAGAAAAAAAAUUAGCAAUCUAAAGAGAUAUUUGAACACUAAAAACACAAUACAAAGUAUGUUGAGAUAUAAUACCCAUUGACAAACAAUGUCAUCAUAAAUUUGCCAUCAUUGACCACAACAUUCAUUAAAUCCCUGUUGAAUUCCAUAAAAACAUACUAGACAUUCUUGAAUUCAAUCACCAAACAUUCCACCCAAUGUUGGACAAAUGUUUGUUAAAGUAGCCAUUUUUUCUUUCUUUUUAUUUCUCUUUCUUUCUUUAUUUUUCUCUAAAAUUACACGUUCUUUGUGUAACAAUUUAAAAGAAGAAAUAUCACAUUUUUCCUGCUUUAUUUUUUAGAUUUUUAAUUUUUUUGUGUUAAUGAAAGUGGGGAAAUAUCUGCUCAAAUCCUUUUGGAUUUUGUAUAUCAGUUCAAAUGCAUGGCCUAAUGAAGUAAAUUUUGUCUUUUUUGUUUUUGAACAUUUAAAUAAAGUGUAUCUGUGUCUGGGUCUUGCUUUAUUACUCAUGAUCAAGUGUAAAAUUUUCUUAAAGCCAUAUCCCUUAAUAGAGGGAAAAUAUUUGUUCAAAUCCUUUUGCUCUUUCAUAUAUUAAUUCAAACACAUGACCUAAUGAAGUAAAUUUAGUCUUUUUUUUUUAACACUUAAAUGUAGUUUACGUGUUGUUGUCUUGCCUUAUUACUUAGCUUUAAAUUUUGGUCAUAUUUCAAAAGUCUAUAGGUAGCUUGAUGACAUAUAAUUGUUUGAGAUAAAUGAGGUAGUGGGUUUCUUUGAUUCUUACACUAUAUUUGGAUUGAGGGGAAGGGAAAGAAAGGAAAGGAAAAUAAAUGAAAGUAAUGGAAAUAGAAAAACUUUUCUUUUAUUUGGAUAAACUUUUAAUUUAAAGGAAGGAAAAGAAGUGAAAAUUCAAUAACUUUUGGAUUCCUUUAUAAUCCUCACUUUUUUAAUAUCCCAAUUGGAAGAAAAGCUAAAAAAGUAAAGUUGAAAAAAAAAAAUUUUUAUAAAAAGACUAUUAUAUCUAUCUUUUUAUUAAUACUAAAAAUCUAGUAAAAAAAAAUCUAAUCACAUCACAAUCAUCUUGUAAUUUUUUCAACGUUAUUUCUCUUUUCAAGUAAAUUUUACAUGUCUCUCCCAAUAUAAAAUUUUUUUAUAAUUUUUUGAUGAUUUAAGUUUAUUGAAUUAUUAAAUAUGAAUAGAUAUAUUUUUUUUGGAUUUAUGAAAUGUUGAACUAGCUCACAAUCAUCCAUCAAUGCAUGUUUGUAAAAUAUAUUUUUGUUUCACUUAAUUAAAAAUCAUUGAUAUAGCAAUAAUUAUGAGAUCAGACAAGAUAAUAAACAUAUCAUGGUUAAAAAAUGUUCUAAAAUCAUAGGCAAUAAAAGAUUAUAAUUGAAAAAAAUUAUUAUAAUGAAUCAUUUCAUUUUUUUUUCACUUUUUAUCUAUAUAAUAAUUGUUAGAAUUCCUUUCAUUUUUUUUAUUAAUGGUAAUUAUCCAAAUAAAUGGUACAUAUAUCUUUUCAUUUCCUUUAAAAAUUUUUUUUCUUUAUUAAUAUUUAUCCAAACAUAGUGUUAAAGUUUAGAGAUUUAAUUCUUAUAAUAUCCGUUCAAAUCCCUUCCAUCUUUUUUCUAUCUUUGUAGUUCAAAUGCACGGGCUAGUUAGCAGCAAGUCACGCUUGGUGUCACGGACUAAGCUUUCUCUCAACAAGCACUAGCCCGUACGGCACUUGAAUGGACGUUUUCACCAAAGUCAGCCUUCAAUAGAUCGAUAUCUGAACAAAUAACAUAAACCAUGGUUAGUCUCAAGCAUUCACAAUAAGGCACAAUAUAUUGAGGUCAAUCUCAAACAUACACACACAACAAGGCACAUUCACAUCGAGAAAGAAAGAAACGCAUCGAGGCAACAAUCGGGCAUUCAAUCGGGGUGAAUUUUAUUAUAAACAUGAAUCAUACAUCGGGACUUCCCACCAUCACCAGGGCCAGGGGGCAACCCUUGGUGAGUGGCCUAAACUCGUAUAGCAUCCGGUGAGACAGCCCAACACUACGCUACCGGUUCACUCCCCUAAAGAGCCUUAGAAUUUUUAGAGCUAUGCUACCAGUAACCGUUACAAUAUUUGAAAUGGGGGCACUUUUCCUAGCACAAGGGAUCUACCCAGCCAUGGCCCUAUACAUGGAUGGCUCAUGGCAACCUAAGUCCCGGUCAUGGCCCUAUACAAGGGUGGCUCAUGACAUCUUCCCCCACCUAUUCUAUCGACGUCCUCGUCGACUUGCUGGCUUGAAAUUCUUCAAUCUUCCUUUGAAAUCUCUGGAGGUCGUGUUCUCUCUCCCAGCUAGUUUCUUCUAGUCCUAAGCCCUCUCACUUCACUAGGUAUUCCCGAACUAGUCUUCGAGAUAUCUUGGUUUCCCUGUCUGCUAAGAUCUCUUCGACUCAACGCUCUAAGGGUGGCUUCAUGGUGAUGGCGGCUCUGGUUGGCUCCCUUCGACUAAUAUCUGUAGGAUCUACAUGGAAGGGCUUCAGGUUGUUUACAUGAAAUACUGGGUGCACCUUCAUCCACUUCGGUGGGUUGAUUUUGUAAGAAGCUUUUCUCACCUUGGAAAUGACCCUUACUGGACCUUCAUAUUUACGCACCAGUCUACGAUCUCUCUUUCUUAAGAACUUGAUUUGUUCUGGAACUAGUCGGACCAGAACCAAAUCACCAACUUAGAAUUGCUGAGCUCUGCGAUUCUUGUCUGCCCAUUUUUUCAUCCGCUUUAAUGCCUUCUUCAGGUAAACUUGUGCAAUCUCUGUGUUUUAUUUUCACUCCUUGCUGAAGUUGAAAGCUCUCGAAUUCUUUCCUCUAUAUUAUUCCAAGGAAGUGUGGCGUAGCCUUGGUAGUUGUCCGGUGAUCACCUCAAAUGGGUUCUUGUUAGUGAAAUAGCUUUUGUUAGAAUUAAAGUAGAGUUGAGCAACGUCCAACAAUGAAGGCCAGUCCUUUUAGUUGGCUUGGACAAAGUGCCUCAAAUAUUCCUCCAAUAAUCCAUUGAAAUGUUCCGUUUGGCCAUCGGUCUGAGGAUGGUAGCUCGAAGAGAUGUUGAGUUGGGACCCUAAAAUCUUGAAAAGUUCCCUCCAAAAAGACCCCGUGAAUCUCAGAUCUCUAUCAUUGACGAUGUUUUGAGGGAGGCCCCAAUAUUUGACCACAUGUUUGAAUAAUAGUUGAGUUGUGUCUUCUGCUAUACAAUACUUGUGAGUGGGGAUGAAUGUGGCAUACUUGGAGAACCGGUCAAUUACCACCAAGAUAGUUGUAAGAUCUCCAACCUUGGGUAGGCUCGAAAUGAAAUCGAGGGAGAUGCUUUCCCACGGUUUGGUGGGUACCGAUAAUGGUUCCAGUAUGCCCGUAGGUUUCCUCUUUUCGAUUUUGUCGUAUUGGCAAAUGAGGCAAGUCUUCGUGUAGUCCAUCACAUUUUGUCGCAUGUGGGGCCAAUAGUAUCCAUGUUUCAAUAAUGCUAAAGUGCGUUGCCAGCCUGGGUGUCUCGUCCAUGGGGUGUCAUGGCAUUCCCUCAUCAGCAUCUGUCUCAGCCCUCCUGUUCUCGACACAAACACUCGAGGCCCCUUGAUCCACAAGACCCCAUUUUCUUGCCAGAAGUAUUUGGACUUCCCUUCUUCCACUAGCUUCAAGAUGGCACAGGCUUGCGGGUCCUUCCCUAUAUGAUCUCCAAUCAACUUAUGAAUGUCCGUAGUGGCUCUACUAGUUACCAUUGGGGCCAUUCUUCUGAGGGCCACCAACUCUGGUCGCCUACUCAAUGCAUCUGCCACUUGAUUCGUCUUCUAGCGGUAUGCUCAAAGUGAAAGUCGAACUUCACUAAAAAUUCUUGCCACCUAGCUUGUUUCACCGUAAGCCUUGGUUGGGUGAAAAAGUGGCUAACGGCUGCAUUGUCCAUCUUCACGACAAAGUGUGAACCCAACAAGUAAUGUCGCCAAGCCCUCAAGUAAUGAACCACCGUCAAGAGCUCUUUUUCCUGGGCCGUAUAUUUCCUUUCUGCUUCGCUUAGCUUCCUACUUUCAAAUGCUAUUGGGUGAUGUUGUUGUAAAAGCACACCUCCAAUAGCAAAAUCUGAUGCAUCCGUCUGAACUUCAAAAGGUUUUUCAAUAUCGGGAAGAGCUAAGAUGGGAUCCUUCAUAAUAGCAUCUUUCAAUCUCUCAAAGGCCUCUUGGCACUCAUUGGUCCAACACCAUUUAUACUACUUCUUCAAUAACUCCGUGAGUGUCAUGGUCUUGUGAGAGUACCCUUCCAUAAACCUUCUAUAAUAGUUGGUUAGUCCCAAAAAUGAGCGGAGUUCACUAACAUUCUUUGGUGUUAUCCACUUUUUGAUGGCCUUAACCUUUUCCAUGUCCAUUCGAAUGUGGCCACGUUCGACAAUGUGAUCGAAAAAAUGGAUUUGGGUCUGAGCAAACACGUAUUUCUCCCUUUUUACAUAUAACUGGUGGUCCUACAGCCUUUUAAAUACCCGACGUAGGUGUUUUUGAUGUUCUUUCAAAGUGAAGCUGUACACCACUAUAUCGUCUAAAUAAAUGACUACAAAUUUGUCAAGGUAGUCAUAAAACACCUGAUUCAUCAAUGUACAAAAUGUGGCAGGAGCAUUGGUCAAUCCAAAGGGCAUAAUAAGAAAUUCAAAUGCGUCAUACCAUGUUACACAAGUGGUCUUUGGCUCAUCUCCCUCAACGAUUCUGAUCUGAUGGUAUCCAGAUCUCAGGUUCAGUUUGGAAAAGUACUUGGUCCGGCUCAAUUGAUAAAACAAGUUUGCUAUAAGCGAGAUAGGAUAUUUGUUUCUUACGGUGACUUUGUUCAGGGCCCUGUAGUCAACACAUAAGCGUAAACUCUCAUCAUGCUUCUUCUGGAAUAGUACCGGUGCUCCGAAAGGAGCCUUUGAUGGUCGGAUGAACCCGACUUGUAAAAACUCAUCUAACUGUUUUCUCAGCUCGACCAACUCUGGCGGGGACAUGCAAUACGGAGCUCUAGCAGGGGGUUUUGCUCCUGGGAGGAGCUCAAUUUCGUGGUCCACUGCUCGUCGAGGGGGUAAACCUUGGGCAACAUCUCUGGCAUCACCUCUUUGAAUUUUUCCAACACUCUCUUCACACCAUCGGGUAUUGGUUCUACUUUCGACCCUUUUUUAUAGAUCGACACCGCCACAAAAGAGGGUUCUCCUCUUUUUACCCCUUUCUUUAACUGCAAAGCUGAAAUCAUUUUCUUUUCACUCUUUGGUAAGAUGUUAGCUGGCACCACACAUGGGUGUUCCCCUAAGAACAACAAGCAGCUAGCGAUGGGGAUAGGGAUGACUUGAGCCAACAUCAUGAAGUCUAAUCCGAGGACAACAUCAAAGUCAUCCAUGGGGGAAACUGUAAAGUUUACCUUCCCUUCCCAUGGCUCCAAUCGGGUUGUCACACUUUUAGAGUUUUCACUGAUCGUAAAGGCUGGUGAAUUGACCGUCUUCAUUCGUCCACAGUCUUUACUAAUCUGAAGACUACACCUUUUUGCUUCUUCUGGUGUGAUAAAAGUAUCGGUUGCACCCGUAUCCACCAUGGCCUUAGUGGUUUUCUCAUUGAUCGUCAAGUUCAUGUACAUAAAGCCUCUACUUUGCUCUUUCUUUAUAAUGUUCAAUUGGGUGCGGAGGGCACUGAGGAACCUUAUUGAGCCCAUCCUGGCUGGCUCAUCUUCAGCUUCUUCAACGCUCUUUGGUGCUUUUACGGACUCUUGAGAUAAUGUCUUUAAGGCAUUAAGGGCUCUUCGGUGCGGGCAUUUAGCCACUCGAUGUGGUCCCUUGCAAAGAAAGCAAGCUAACGGUUGCCUAGGCUUGAAAAUCCCUGCGUUGCUUGUCUUGGGCUGGGUGCUAUCUUGACCAAAAGACCUCCUGUCUGAUCCCCCACUGAAGGGUCGGUCUAACCUAGUCAUCUUUCCCCCACUCCCAAAGUUAAAGCUACUGCCAGUUGAUGAAAGAUUUUUCCGUUUUGAGGAGCCAUCAUUGUAAUCGUGAAGACGUUCCGCUGCAGCCAUGGCCGUGGCCACAUCUUGCACUUUCUACCUUUGUAGUUCUGUCCUCGCCCAAGGCUUGAGGCCCUCAAGAAAAUAGAACAUCUUAUCCUUUUCGGACAUGUCCCGAAUAUCCAGCAUCAGGGUAAAAAAGUUUCUUACGAACUCUCGCACCGUUCCGGUUUGCACCAACUCUUGAAGUCUCCUUCGAGCCAUAUACUCCACAUUCUCUGGAAAAAAUUGAUUUUUCAAUUCUCGCUUCAGGUCCGUCCAAGUCUUAAUCAGACACUCGUCAUCGACAAACUUGGAGCGCCACCACAGCUUGGCAUCCCCUGCGAGGUACAUCGACGCCAUUGUCACCUUGUCUUCCUCUGAACUUGUGUGUACAGCUCGAAAGUAUUGUUUCAUGUCAAACAAGAAAUUUUCAAGUUCCUUAGCAUCCCUUGCCCCCUCAUAGCAUCGAGGCUCCGACACCUUGGGCCUUUGUCCCCUGUCUAUCGAGCUUGAACUCGAUCUGGCCACAACCAUUUGUAGGAUGCUCAAUUGGGCCCUGAGCUCCUCAAACUCCUUUUGAAGAAUGUUCAAGGCAUCUCUAGCCUCUUCGCUCACAUUGUGGAGAGUAUCGGACAACUCUCGCUGGGUUGUCUCGAUCUUUCUCACUCGAUCUUUCGUCAUCAUAUGAGUUUUCAUUGCGGCCACCGUGGUCUCAAGUUCCUCAAUUCUCUGUUGAUGAUCCGGUCCACCACUUGUGGCCAUCUCAUCCAUUUUUCUAGCACUUCUCAACCGUGCUCUGAUACCACGUGUCACGGACUAAGCUUUCUCUCAACAAGCACUAGCCCGUGCGGCACUUGAAUGGAUGCUUCCACCCAAGUCAGCCUUUAAUAGAUUGAUAUUUGAACAAAUAACCAUAAACCAUGGUUAGUCUCAAGCAUUCACAAUAAGGCACAAUAUAUCGAGGUCAAUCUCAAGCAUACACACACAACAAGGCACAUUCACAUCGAGAAAGAAAGAAACGCAUCGAGGCAACAAUCGGGGUGAAUUUUAUUAUAAACGGGAAUCAUACAUUGGGACUUCCCACCAUCACCAGGGCCAGGGGGGCAGCCCUUGUUGGGUGGCCUAAGCUCGCAUAGCACCCGGUGAGACAGCCCAACACUACGCUACCGGCUCACCCCCUAAAGAGCCUUAGAACUUUUAGAGCUAUGCUACCAGUAACCGUUACAAUGUUUGAAAUGGGGACACUUUUCCUAGCACAAGGGAUCUACCUUACCAUGGCCCUAUACAUGGGUGGCUCAUGGCAACUUAAAUCCCGAUCAUGGCCCUAUACAAGGGUGGCUCAUGACACUUGGCCUGCUUCAACAUUCUGAAGCAAAUUUUGUCCUUUUUAGUUUUGAACACUUGAGCUUGAUCGUAAGUUUUUCUGCUAUGGCAGUGAUCCUUUCCAAGCAGAGGUAUUGCUUUAUGAAAAUGGCAAAAGAUAUGGGCUUUAUGAAAAUCAUACACGCUAAGCGCAUGCAUAAAGCAGUUGAGAUCAGGUCAACUGGAUUUAUGACCUGCAGGUCUGUUCAGAUAGGAAGCACGGGCAAUGAUGCGGCAUUUUCAAGUCAGUCAUGUUUCACAUGCGCUGAGGGAGGGCAACAUGGCCUUUCAUCUGUUAGUCAAAUAUGCGUUUGUGAGUUUAGAAAACAAAUAUUGGGUGGAAGAGUGCCCUACCAUAAUAUUCCAAACCUGUAGUGAGGUAUACAUUAUUCAUCUAUUUGUUCGGUCUGCCUUAAACUAAUAUCUCAUCUUGUCGUUUUCGUUGUCUCUGCUUGUAAUAAUCUUUAUCAAUUUUGGAUGGUCUCGUUUUCAUAAAAUUUGAGGGAGAGAUCUCUCCAACGAUUUUACAAAGACUAAUGUAUAUGGCUGAUAAUAAUCCACAUCAUCUUUUUAUUUUGUCUUACGAAGGCUGGAUAUCUAAUAGCGAAUCUCUGCAUUGGAAGAUUUUUGAAGAAAUUGACAGUCUCAGAAAGGUUAUCGGAAUGGUGGAUUUGCUUCAUAUCUUGAAAAAAUGGGAGUGGAUUGUUCUCAUCUCUUUCAUGCUUGGCUGUAAUGUAAUUGAAUGUUUUUUGAUGGCUGAUGUUAUGUGAUUUGGCGUUUGCUGCUUAGUUCACUUUUACUCUGUUUUAUACAGAGAUGAACUGGAAAGUAAUAAGUCUCAUUAUUAAUGAAAUCCAAUUUUUUGGCUGAGCAAAAAAAAAAUCAAUGACUCCACAUGAAUAAAGAAGCACUUUUAAGUGGUUGGAUCAUUGAUUCAGGAUAACUAUAAAAGAUUAAGUCGAAGUAUGUCAAAAUAUGAUAUGGUACCAAAACAUCAUGUCCAGAGAAUUGAAAAAAUAAGCAAAUUGGACUUAAGUAAUAAGCAAAUUGAAAAAAAUUCUAAUACAAGUUCCAUUGACACAAUCAAGCAAACAACCUAUAGACAUAGGUUUUAGGGAAGAAACGCUUGGCUAGAAAUUUUAAAAACACAGUCAAGGGACUGUAACACUAGCCUGAAAACAAUUUAAACCAAAGAAGCGAAAAAAAACAACAGCCCAUUAACACAUGACUUCCCCUUUAGACCAAGUCUUGAAAGACAAAGGAUCUUAAUAUUUGAAUUCAUACUCCAGCAAGUGUACUGAGAAAUUAGUGACUAUUUUUUACCAACUUUCCCUCAUCCGUUAAUGAAUUUUAACUCCAAAAAAUUUGGAUCAGUAAUGAAACAAAAAACACUCAGGCCAAAGACUAUAAACGAGUUAGAAAUUGAGUUAGAGCAAAAAUAAAAAUAAAAAAGUGAAUAAUGGCUAGGAAACAACCCACAUGAGAGCCUCUGUAAUAUUUUGGCCAAAGGCUUUGAUGAUCUCUGUAUUCUAAUCUUUAUAAUAUUAUGGGCUUUGAUUGGCCAACAUAUCAACCUCCUCAAACAAUGGUACGGUUGUUCACUUGGAAUUCUUGGUAACCAUAUGGGUUUCAAGUUGAAGAAAUUUCAGGGAGAAAUAUAGUCAGAGAGGAACAUAAGAACUACAUUGGAUGAAAUUGUGAAGAAGUUAAUAAGCACCGGAGAUUAGAGGCUAGCAAAUGAGCAUAUGACGAUCCACGCACUGAGUCCAAGCCCAAGUUAGUCAUAUCAUAUAAAGGAAUAGAUACAGUGCCUUAAUUUGAAACGGUCGGUAGUCUAUCAUAUGAAGUUGGCUUUAAUUUGAAAAGCUCGUUAGUCUAUCAUAUAAAGUUGGCAUUAUAUACUCUAAUAAAUUAAUUUUAUAAAAAAAAUAAUGAUUAUGUUAUAAAUAAUAUCAAAAUCAAUCUUAAUUUAAUCAAUUUUACAUUAAGUGUCUCAAUAAGAUAAAUAAGAUAAUUAAUUUGAUCAUUUAAUAAAAUGUUAGAGUAAAAUGUGAUGUAAAAUUUGAUUAUAUCAAUCAUUCCAAAAGAGAGAAGAUAAAAUAAUAAUCAUGACACGACUCUAUGCCAAACCCAUUAUGACGAAAGCAUCCCGAGACGAGAUAAAAAAAAAAUGUUACAUCAAAUACUUUAAUGAAAUAUACAAAAUAUUUCAGUUUUACAUCAAAUAAAAAAAUACUAAACAUAUAUUGGGUUGCUGACAAAUUCCAAGAUUGCAGUUAUAACUUAAUCAGAGUAUCAAGCGGGAAAAUAGAUAAGAAGAGGUUUCAAGUUUCAACAGUGAUCUACACCUUUAUUAAUAGUGACUGUGUGUGUUUUCUUUCCUGUUACCACUCACCAGGUAUGUUUUUCAUUGUUUUUUAGUUACUUUACUUCAAUUAGGAUUUACAAGUUUUUUCAUUGUUUUGAAUUUGCUACUUUUAAUAAUCAUUUAAGAACGGAUAUGAAUACUUAGAGAUAUGAUUAUUAUCUAAUAUUAAUUCCACAAUGAUUUGAGACACUGAUUGUUUCUUUAAUUAAUUCUAUGCUGCAAAUAGUGAUAUUCCUUAACCUGUUGCUCUCCUUACGUUAAAAUAAAAUAAAACUGAUUCUAUUAAACACCUAUAAUAUAUUUUUACUGGUACGAAUAUAUUUUCAGGUUAAUUGCAAAAAUAAUGAAAUUGAGGUAUGAAAAAGCACCUCUUGCGGUUGGACUAGCUUUAAACUACAUAGUGCUUUCUUCGUAUUGUCCGUAGCCUUUGGUGAAAUGUGGUUUGGCAUAUUAAAGCGCUCAAAAUGGAAGAGAAGCAUCCAGGACAGAACCAAUCUCAAACAAAGUUUUUUUUAUGGCAUUGACUUGGGUUUAUUUCUUCCCACUGCAAUUUUGGUGGGUUUGUCUUUCUUGCACACGCGGUUCACUCCCCGAGGGGUGCAAAAGGGUACGUAGAAACUAGAUCAUUUCCUGUUUGCUUUACCGCUAUGGCAUGGAUCUUGUGUUGGAUCUUGGUGCCAUUGCUCUGGAGGCAGCUAAAUAGUGAUUAGGGGAAAGAUUUUGAAGGAACCAAAACCUGAUCCACUGCUUGCACUGGUCCAAGUUAUUCUUUAUUCCUUGGUUUUCGCUAUUUCCCUUGUCUUGGCUACUUGGUUUCCAUUAGGUACUCUUGAUGAAAUUAGCAAGAAAUAUGAUCAUAAUAAUUCUCCAUUUUCAGACGUUGAGAGUGUUCAACCCAAGUCGUAGAUGGGUUUUGGCAAGAUUAGGAAUGGUGCUUGGAGUAAGCGAUGAGGGCUUCUCAAACUUAUGAUAACUCCCUUUUCUAGUGCAUUGUUUAUUUUAAUUUUCUAUUUUCUUUUAGUACUCAAUAUAUGUAAUUUUCUUUUACCUCAUUCCUCUCUACUAUCGUCAAAAGUUCUUAUUUUGAUUUUGCUUUUUUGACAGUUUAUAUAACUAAUGGUCAAAUUUGGGGCUAAACAAUUUGCAUUUGUAAAAUCGAGUCCAAGGCAUAUUAAGAAAUAGGUAAGUUCAAAUUAACUUAUAUUUUCUUUUUAAAAGAUGAAUGCUUGUGUUCCAUCCACUCGUUGAGAUGGACUUACGACAAUUUUUUCAGAAAAACAAACGGGAAAGAAUUGGCCAUUAUAUAUCUAGUCCCUUCCCUAGCUCUGCUACAUGACCAACAUCUCCAUUACACGUUCUCCCUUGAAUUAAUGCCAUCCAUUUAGUGCACAACCUUUUUUUUUUUUUACAAUAUAUGGUUUGGCAUAUUAAAGUUAAUUGGCACAUCCAAACGGAUUUUAGAUUUACAACAAAAGGGCCUGUUCUUAGGAACAGGCAUCCGCUUACUUAGCUAAUUUGGCCAUGCUACAUUUCUAAGUCUUGCUAACCUAAAAUGUUACUACAUCUCCACAGCAUUGGCUCACUGCAACUCCAAUCAACUCUCUCGUAGGCCCUCCCUAAGUUGCAAUAUAACCAACAUCGCCUGUAUAGGUUCGCCCUUUAAUGCCAUUACAGUCAACAACCCUUCUUAUACAUCCCACUACCCUAAGUGUUAGAAUAAUACUUUGAAAAAAAAAAAAAAAAAAAAGGCAGCGCAGCCUUUAUAACCUAGGUAAUGGAAUUUUACAUUUUCUACACCAUGAUUUCCAACUUCAACUAGUUAUCCAUUUUUUACCUCAUCCAAGAUAAACAACAUACACAGGACAGAUAAAACUGAACAUCAAAUUCUCGAGAGAGCCCAAAAAAGAGAACUUUCAAGGAUCUUAUUCCUAUACGAUAAUAAACCUUAAACAUAAAUAAUUAUAUGUAACACAACUGAUAAGUAGCUUGAACAGUACUGAUAAAGUAACGGUAAUACUUUAUCAGUCAAGGAAUCAAGCCCAUUGCCUUGAGGUGAAGGUUCAUUGACGUUAUCACAAGUUUAGAAAACAAGGAAGGAAAGAGAGGUGCUUUAGUUUUAACAUCAUAAAAUACAAAUGAAUAGUUUAACGUCAAAAGUAAAAACAACAAAAUAAGCUUCCAGAACCAAAAAUGCAAUUUUCCUAUUGAUUCUUAACAUUUCUAACACAGAUCAUCUCUAAUGGCUUCUUGGUCACUAAUGUUUAGCUGCUUAUGCUUGUCGGCUGAAAUAUUCACUAAAAAGGUUAAAGGGAUGCUCUUGCUACAAACCUUACUUUUUCCAAUAAGUGUCAUGUAUUAUUGAUCUUCGCUAUUUGAUCAAAAAUAUCAUGUCAUGUACCAGUCAUUCCAUUUGCUUUUUCUGCCCUACAUAAUCCACAUAAUCCUUUCCAUAGUUCACAACCCAGGAUCCUUUACUGUGACCCAAAGAAUGGCAAUCUAUUGGUCCCUAAUCUUAGACAUCAUUCAAUUACCUAAAAGAUGGGAAAUUAGUGCUAUACAAAGGCUUUAAAUUAAGGCCCUCGGAGGAUUUUACAUCAGCGGAGGGCCACACCUUAGCAAACCAUUGACUAGUUUAUACAAUCCUUCACCAUUCGUAUGACAAUGAAAGCAGAUACAGGACAGAACUUUGUAUUUCAUCAGAAAUUGUUAACAAAGAAAUAAGAAGGUUCAUCAGUAAUUACCACAUUAAAACCACAUCAAUCUAAUUACUUGGACGAGCAACGCGAGCUUUGAAUUCCACCAACAUGUCCAUCACCAACUUCCUCUUUCUUAACCCAAACCAUCCCUUCAUUUCUCUGAUUCUGCUCUCUACGCCUCUCAAACUUCCCAUAAUAAUAGUAUGUCUUAUUCGGCUCCCUAUUGCCGCCGAAGUGUUUGAAAUUUCCUUUUUGCAAUCCGUGUCUACCAUAAUCCCCUUUUCUAAUCUCACCUUUCAUUGACAUUGCUCUAAAUUUCCGUUCAAUCUCCACCGUACGAACAUCCGUUCUAGGAAUCGGUACACUGGCUUGCUUCGGCGCGUGGACUUCAUCUCCGAUCACCACCUCCUUCCCCUUAUUAUUCUCCACACUCGCAGGCAGUGGUGCGUUCACAGCAGGUCCAACCACUUCCUCCCCUUGAUUUUCAACCCUAGCUUUCUCUUCCUUCUUGUUCUUUUUCUUCUUUUUCCACUGCUUCUUCUCUUUCUUCUUCUCAUUCUUCAAUUCCCCGCCAUUCUUCCCCUUCUCGGCAUCCUCAUUUUUAUUAACCGUAAAAGUCGCCGCGGUUCCCUCUUCCUCGCGUUUUUCAGCAACACGCUUCCCAUUGUCCCGAUCAUAUCGUCGAAAAUACCCCUUUUCACGACUUCCUCUUCCAGCUACCUCGUCAUUAACUCGCUCUUCAACUUUUGUUUCCUUCUCUUCUUGUUGUUGCGGCUCUUCCUUUUCCUUUUCCUUCCGCUUUCGCUCUUGCUCUUUAAUCCAUCGUUCUUGCAAUUGAAGAAGAGUAACGUAAUUUGAAGGAAUGGAAGGCAACUUUUUUUUACCGAUGAUUUUCUCAGACUCCUCCAUUGAAACAAAAAAUGAUCGCAACAGAGAAGAAGAUAAAAGAAAUUCAAGCCAAAUUUAUAAACAAAGAGAAAUUAGAGAAAACGAUUUUGAUUUCAUUUACUUGCUGAGAAAGGAAAACAACUCAAUGAGGGGGGUGGCAGGACACUUAAGGUUGCUUUAACUAGCGACCUUUUUUAUUUUGGGAACAUCAAAUUUGUCACUAAUUACGGAGUUGCAACUUUUGUUGGGGCCUAAAUCUGGAAAAGGUGAUAUUUGGGUCAAAUCUUGUCUCUCCGCUCUGGCCCUCCACUUUAUUUCUUUUUGGGCUUGUCAACGAAGCCCAUAGGGGCUGUACUUCGCCCAAUUUUAUACCUUUGACUUUGAGUGUGUGACCAGUAAUCACUGGCCCAUUGUCCAGUUUCAAAGUUUAAAACGGCUCUGUAUUUUAGCAAAAAAAAAAAAAAAAAAAGGUUCUUCUAGUUCUGACCAAUUUGUCAAGAUAUUUUUUUUGGUGUAUAGGAGCGUAUUAACAUCGGAUAGGAAAUACAAAUAAUAAGUCGAACAACGCAAUAGAUAAUUAUUUUCGUGCAAUUUAAAAUCAUCACUUUAGUUGUCGACCAUUGAUUUAAUAUAAAUUUAUUACUAUAAAUAGCAUUGUUGUUCCGACAUCCUCAAUUUCAUUUUGGUAAAUAAUUUGGUUUUAGCAACAAAUUCAGAAAUAGGAAACGCAAUCCUAUUCUUUGCUUGAUAACCAAGAAAAGCUGUCACUUGGCUAAUGGGUCUGAUGAUCAUUAUCAGUUCGAGAGAAACAUGAUUCUAUGAUCUCCAUGACCGGACCUCUCAGGAAGCUCAAAUUCCUUAACGUGGCAAGCGGCAAAAGCACCGCUAACUGGAAAAAAUAAACAUAAAGAGAGCAUGCUUGACAACGCAAAGACCACGUUUUAUCGAAACUCUUGAACAAUCAGCCACCUGGAAUGAACCCCUCUGGUUUUUGUAGUGAUAGUUUAACAUCCCAAGGCUUUCAACCCCUCCAAUCAGAUUCCAAAUCAUCCGUUGCAUGCAAUAGGACAAGACCAGCUAACACGUGGACGACCGCCAAAAUUAACCGACCGAAACCAAAAGCCAAAAUGGGAGUGUCGUAAAAUGGAAGGGGCAAAGACAUAAAACGGCCAAACCAAUCCUGAUAGGUGUAGCCACGCAUGGCCGCCAACGCCACACACGUUGUAACCAGAGGGCGAUUUUUAUUGGUCUAAGAGCGGUUCAAGUUGAGUCUGGGAUCGAAUUCUAAGGCUCGCCUGUCAAAAAUUUUGCUCGCCUAGUGCUUUGAGUUUCGGGUGAACUUCGAAGUAUGAUGUGUUGGCAUGCAUGGACCCACUUGCUACUGUAAAUCCCACAUGUCCGUAUCUUCUAAGCCCCUCAAACACGUACUAUCAUUCAAUAUCCAAAUGUCAAAGUCUCCUGUCUCUUUGUUUCAUGUUGCCUGGCACUCAUCGGCUGAUUUCUGCUCUUUAAAACUACCCCCUCAAAAGCCUAUCACCCCUUCAAUUACUUAUUUUGUAACCCCUUUUCUUCUUCUUCUCCUUCUGCCUUGUGUGUUGAGACAUACUCUUCAUUAAGAGAUCUUUCACAACAGCAGUGGGUUCAAUUUGGGGUGUGAAAAUUGAGAGGAAGAAGGCACCAUGAUUAAGACGUUAAAUCCUUACUCCACAGCUAAAACAGCUGAAAUUAUGUCCAGGUACAGGCCUAUAGCGCCGAAGCCUGAGGUGCCUGCAAACUCCAUGAAUGAGAGCUCAGCAAUGUCUCAGAAGAUCAGGCAGUCUCCUUAUCUGAGGAAUUUGUGGCCUCAGCUUCAGGCUAGGCCUACUAGGACUAGAAAGAGAGGUAGAGCUGCUUUAUCACCGCCAACACUCAAGAGAGCAAGGACCCAUGUCCUAGGGCUUUCUUCACCUAGUCCUGUAACAUCGCCUGCUAAAAACCUCUCUUUGCAAGGUUUUUCUCAUGGGAUUCCUCAGCCUUCUGUACCUAAUUUUGUAACCACUGGUGGAGGCUUGGAGAGUUCUUCUACACCACCAGCAAAUUUGGUGACACUUCCCCUCCUUCCAUGUCCUCCCUCGGUUCCUGUUCGUGCCAACAAGGCAACAGUACCUGCAGUCAAUUGCAUGGAACCUUGUGGAGGAGAAAAGGUGAUAGAUUUGAACAAAGUUGCUGAAAUUCCGGAAGAGAAGGAUCUGUUGAUGCACUUCCAAGGUCCUCCCAUCAGCAGCGUCAUAGCACCUCAGCCAAUUCGACCAGUGGGCUCCAGCAUCUGUGUUGGAUGCAUCAAUGAGGAUCCAAGCCUAACCUCACCAAUGCAAGUUCCAAAGAAACCAGAGGAGGUUGAAGAAGAUGUUGAGUCCGAGGCCUUGCCAGCAGUGAUAUCUGACUCAAACAAUAAAGUCAGACUAGCAAAUUCUGCUUAUAAAGAGAUGGUGGGUCAACCAGAAUGUCCAUGGCUCGAUUCUAUGGUAACAGGUAAAGGAAGAGCCGCAGGCAACUCAUGCAAGAGAAUCUGUGGAGAAGUGAUGCUUCAUCUAUCUGAUUCGAAGGUGCCAGUUAAAUCAAACGGGUUUUCAUGCUGGGCGAGGAUUGAGUGGGGAAGUGAAGGGAGGAAGAGCUCAGUCAAAGCUUUCUGUGAUGUGAUCAGAUUAUCAUGUCAGUCAAAGGACUACCUAUUCACAUGGAGGUUCCAUACCCACAACAGGAAAGCAUCUCAGCCUAGGAUGUUUGAAAUUUGAAAAUGUACACCGCUGGUUUACUGCAAAUGCACCUUAACUAGCUAGUACUAUAUGUAUAGAUGAGACAUAUAUAUCAAGUAUAUAGUGUAGUAGUCAGCAUCUUUUGUGUAGCUAUAUAUAUAUAUAUAUAUGCCAGGUUUUUACUCCACGUACUUUAACUUUGUGUUUGGCUCUAUGCAAUUUGUUCAGGCAACCCCCAAAAAAAGGUUGGAGAAGGGCAAUUACUGGCAGAGCUAAUAUCUUGAGUCUACCAUAGAUCCACAAAUAUGUUUCUUAUAUAGUUGUAAAUACUAUAAGAUUCUGUCAUCUGGCAAUUUCUAAUUUGCUAUUUAUUUUUAUUUAUCACCCUUUACAGUACAAUUAUGACGAUGUAUCAGAAGCAAAGUACAAUAUUGAUGCGGUACUAUGAUGAACUAUGAUAACUCAUGGCGUCAUGGGUUAUUCAGAGAAAUCAAAAUUUUAAUCAUCUUCAGUCUUUUGGUGGGCCCUUCCAUUUGAAAUUGUCUGCAUAUGACUUAGCCUAGAAUCAUAGAGGAAAACCAAUUAAUUCCUUGAAUAAUGUAGAUAGUGAUACAAAAAGAGAUUAUUCCCAUGAACAUUCCUAGUUUUCCUUCAUCUUUGCAAAGUGAAGGCGUUGAAAAUUGAAAUCAAUAUCCUUGAAAUCACAAACAACAUGCAUGGGUUUUAAGAUUAGAGCAGAAGGCGGAAGGCUAAUAUCAUAGAAUUAGAUCCUAUGUAAUUAAAGAAAGUAAAGAGAGUCGAACCUUGAGAAAAGGUGUAUGUCGCUUCUUGACCUGUAGUCAAAAAAAAAAAUUAUGACAUUUAAAGUGCUUUGGAGAAAUAUAGUAGAUCGAAAGCACUACUUUAUUUGAACAUAGCAAAGAUUUUCUCAGAGAACCGUUUCAUUAGCACUUUUUCAACUAACAGGAAUCACUACUAUACAUUAUCUUCACGAGUAUAAAAUCAUAAAUUUACAAUCUAUUCUUAUGAGCAAUUCCAGGCAUGUAUACAGUGCUACCCUUUUGUUAAUCUUCCUCCUCUAAGGUAACCCUCCAGGCAAUUCACUUCCUUACUCUGGAACUGUUCUGUUGCAUGCACAAAGAUGCAUGAUUCAACCAAUUUGUACAUUGCAUUUGGUUAAAACUUAUAUUUUUUUCAGCUUCCUCUUGCCAGGGUAGAAAAAAUCAAUUGAGAUUACCAAUUGUGGCAAGCAAGGGAUUUUACAGGGUUAAUUUAAAAUUUUAUUAUAAAAAUUUAAUGAAAGGCAUUACACUUUUCCGCAUAUUAAAACAGAAAAAGGAUACUGAUGCAGUUGUUUGUUGAUGCGUGAAUUUAACUGGAAAGUAGGAUGGCACAUGAUUAAAUGUUAUCAGAUUUCAUCACUGAUGCCUGGACAGCAUAACUAAAACCCCCAAAGGCACAUACCUCAUAUUCCCAGCCAUAUUUCUCAGCGAAUGCUUUUGCAGCUUCUUCGCUAUCAAAUUCAAGUCCAGCCUCACCAACAUUGCGUACGGAUUCCUGUUGAUGUCCAACCCAUUAACGGAUUUUCCCACCUAGAGGAAAUGCCAGUUGGAGGAAAUGACUACUCGAUGUCAUCAAAAUAACGUCAAUGUUUCUAUAGUAUUACAGCAACAUGUACCAGAACAAGAUUGCCUAGUUCUACGAAAAAAAACAGAAGGUGGGUGCAUGUUAAAAUAAUUUGUUAUUAUUUGCAAUAUUUUGAUUCCCAAUAACCUUAUAAUAAGGGAAAUAUAAUAAAGGUAAAUGGUAAAUUACUUAUGUGUUGAUAAAAAAUUAAUCUUCCUUUUCCCAAAUUUCCCUGAGCCCUGCUGUGAUGCAGUUCGAGCAGGCGAGUAAAUUAUAACCUGGCAUGCAUAAAGGCAGAUAACAUGUGCUAAUAAAGUGAAUGCAAAACAGAUAGGAAACAAGGACUUAAAAAACUCUAUUACAUGUUAGCAUUCUGCAAGAUUUUCUUAUCAAAACUUGAAAAUUAAAGGAAAAAUGGUAACCCUUCCUUUGAGUUGCUGUUCAGGGAUUCCAGAGACCAUUCCGACCUCACCAGGCUUCACUCCCAGUUCCAUCAAAGCAUCUGAAGAGCAGAAUCUUUUCCAAGAAACUUGAGCUCGAUGAUGAGCACUAACUAGAUUCUGACCAACCCGUCGCACAAAACCCGCCAUCUUUUAUCUCUUGUUUUCUUUCUUCCUUCUUUUGAUUAUAGAACUUAGAUUUCUGAGAGGUUUAUAAAGUCGUUAAGAGCUGACAUAUGAGAAGUUAAGAACUAGACAGAAGUUUCGCGCUUUCUACUGCGGCUUCGGGUAAUUGGGCCACUCUCUCUGUUAAUCGGAGUUCGAUGACAUUCGGGCUUAAGCCCAUUAUGUGCCUUCAAAAAAAAAAAAAAAAAAAUACACCAAACGUGCUUUGAUAGUUUGAUUGAAAGAAAGAAUGCGUUCUUGGUUCUGGAGUCUGGACCGAUUCCAAGCAUACCGGCCGAACAUUCUUAGUUUUUCUCUUGCACAUUUGUCAGCAUCGAAUGUGCGAAUGCCAUUUGUUCUUGGUAUUUAUCGAUAUGGAGUCUUGGUGAUUUACCCUUUUUCUCGUCUUGUUUUGCCACCAUAACUUUGUUCUCGUCAUUAAUUUAUUAGAGUUUAGGAAAGCCUGCACGCGUAUUCAAUCUUUCAAUCGGCUCUCUCUGCAUUUUUUUGGUGAAGGACAAGAUCAAUGGCAGCCAACGAAGAGGAUUCAACGCUUGUCAAGCUAGAAUUGGCGUGUUCGGAUUUGAGAAUACUCCUACAAUCAUCGGUUAAAAUGGAAAAGAACCUGGAAGAGAUGGAGAGAAAGUUUGAUGCUAUUGAUGAAAAUCUUUCAAUAGCUGCAAAAACAGUAGCACCUUUGCAGUCCCUCGCUAUGACUGCAAAGGCUCUCGAGACUAGAAUUAGUAGAGCUGUCUCUCCGGCUCUCGCUCUCCUCCAUAGUUUCAAGCUCUCUGAAUCCCUUCAGAACAAGCUUGUUGAACUCUCCAACAAACUAUCUGUUGAGAAAACCCCGAGAAAGAGGCUUAAAAAUCUGCUCAAAUGUGUUGAAUGUGUUGAUCAGCUUAAUAUAGCCGUUAACUUAAUCAGUCGAGACGGUGAGCCAGUGAUUCAAAAGCUUCAAGAGGUGGUGGAAUUCUUGAGCAGGACUAAAGCCACGGAUCCGUAUCGAACGCAAAGAUUGAAGGAGACUUUGAUCACACUUAGAGCUCUAUAUGAAUCUGAGGUUGAUGCCAUGAGGUUUGAUGGGUUGCUUGAUCAGGCUUUACUGAACCUGCAGGAUGAAUUCGAGAUUAUGUUACAGCAAAUAAAGCAUCAAAAUAUAGGUGAGCAACAAGUAGAUGAAGAAGCUCAACAAGCUGUGGUUUUGGACCUUGGCACGGAAAUGGAGGUCCAAGUUCUCAGGCAAAUUGCAGAAACCCUGGCUGCCAAUGAUUGUUUGGAUAUAUGUAUUGAUAUCUUCGUUAAGGUACGCUUCUUUCUUUCUAAGUUUCUUUUAUAAAUUUGGUAAUUUUCCUGAGAUUAGAACUACAAGACAAUAGUUUUUCCUAGAAGUGAAUCAAGUGAGGAAAUAUCAUUCAGAAGAUUUAGAAAAAUCUGGUAAGUCUGUGCAAGCACAGUCAACUAAAUAUCCAAUUUUUGUUAGAAUCAGUAGGAAGCUAUAUGAACUCUAAACACAGAUGGAAUUAAUAGCUGGAAUAUGGAUAGAUUGAGAAACUAUGAUAGACAAACAGUUUUAUUUGAGAUCCUGUACUUAGGAGACAAUUUUGAUUUUAGAUCCUAAAGCUGCGACUCUUUUGGUUGUUCAACAGGUGAGGUACCGAAGAGCAGCUAAAGCAUUAAUGCGAUUAAGCCCUGAUUACUUAAGAACAUACGCUCCGGAAGAAAUUGAUGAAAUGGAGUGGGAGAGCCUGGAUACAGCAAUUUCUCUCUGGAUCCAGCAUUUCGAACUCGCAGUUAAAACAGUCUUUGUAUCUGAAAAGAAACUUUGCAAACAAGUUUUGGGAGGACUUAGGGAAGUGCUUGUGUGGCUAGAGUGUUUUGUCAAGAUUGCAAAUAAAAUCAUGGCGGUAUUUUUCCGCUUUGGAGAAGGUGUUGCAAGGAGUAAUAAAGAACCACAGAAACUGUUCAAGCUCUUAGAAAUGUUCGAUUCCUUAGAAAAGCUGAAAGUCGAAUUCUCAGAGAUUUUUGAAGGUGAAUCAGGAGCUGAUAUCUGUUUACGUUUCAAGGAACUUGAAAAGCUACUCGUUCAUGCUUCAAGCAAAGUGUUUUGGGAGUUUGGCCUCCAAAUUGAAGGCACUUCCGACAGUUUCCCUCCACCACAAGAUGGUUCAGUCCCAAAACUUGUGAGAUAUGCCAUCCAUUACCUUAAGCACCUUACCACAGAGACAUACAGUGCACCAAUGACUAAGGUUUUCCGAACAGAACAAGUAUGGAAAGCUGGCACCUUAUCAAAACCUGAAACAGAUGAGAAUUUACUCAAAGAUGCCAUCUCUAACAUCAUGGAAGCUCUUCAGAGAAAUAUCAAAACAAAGAGCUCAAGUUACAAAGACAAAAUUCUGCCCCACAUAUUUGUCAUGAACACCUAUUGGUACAUUUACACCAGAAGCAGGAAUACAGAACUUGGGAAGCUUUUAGGAGAGCAAUACAUAAAAAAGAAAUACAAGACUAUUGCUGAGGAGUCAGCUUACAUGUAUCAGAGGCAAUCAUGGGGGCCUUUAGUAAGGUUGUUAGAGAAUGAAGAUUUGAAGGAACAGGACAAUGACAACCGUGGAAAAGGAGCUUUUGUAAGAGGUAAAACAGAAGCAUUUUUCAAUUGUUUUGAUGAGAUCUCACAGAGGCACAGAGGGGUUUAUAGCAUUCCUGACGCUGAUUUGAGAGCACAAAUAAGAGAAGCAACAGUGAAGCUGGUGGUUCCUGUUUACAGUGAAUUUUUGAAUGCACACUCAACCUUGUUGCCUGCGAAAUCUUAUAUUAGUCCUGAAAAGUUGCAGGGAUUGCUGGUUCAGGUUUUUAAUGGAACUGAUCGAACGGGCAAUGGGAGGCUGAAGCGCCGAGAUUCCAACGAUAGGGUUCCUAGGAGGAACUCGGUUUCUGUGGAGGAGAGGUUAAGAAUUUAAGACGAUCCUGAUCAAAUUCCAUCGAUGUCUGAAUCAGUGAAAGCUUAAUUUACCUUCUAAUGUUUUUUUCAGAAACCUUGAGUUGACGCAAUGAAACAUCGAAUUAAGAUUGUUUCUUUUUUCAUAAUACAAAUGUAAUUUUAUUUAGUAAUGUAAUGCAAUUUUUUACGGGAUUUUACACAAGUGGAACCUGUCUUGAAUAUGCACAAUAUGAUAAUUAAAUUAAGAUAUGAAAUUUAAAAAAAAAAGAAAAAAAACUUCUAAUCAAGAAUUUAGUUUCAUUAAUUCAUAUAAUUAUUUUUAAAAAAUAUUAUAAGUUUUGUUAUUCAAGAACCAAUAAAGUUCGAAGCAUUGUAUAAAAUUAAACCACAUGCUUCACUACUUGUGCAAAUUUCCAUCAAUUCUUUUAAAUUUCAAUCUUGCAACCGUAUUUUCUAAUCUAUAAUUUAAAUUUUUACAUUUAUAAUUAUUUUAUUAUUCUCACGUUACAACCUUUUUGUUAAAAAAAAAAAAAAAAAACUACUAAGCUUUCUUUUUAACGAGACAAAGCUGCUUUUUUGUUUCUAUUACUUAAUCCCUUUAAUGUUUGGACGAAAGACUUAAAAAUAUUUCCAUAACAAAAAUGUGAUUCUUAAUACAACCACUACUAAAGAGAACAAUUUUACUUGAACUUUCAUUUUGGUGACUUGUGAAGGUUUCCAAACUACACAUCCUGAAUUCCUGAAUAACUCUUCUUUUACGUUUGAGUCUUGACUCUUGAGAGGCCAGGACUUUUACAAGCCCACCCAAAAAUAAUAUUGUAACGCACGGAAUUGUUCCAAGUGCUCUUAUAUAUUCGAUUAAAUUCAUCCUAUAAUUAAUUAAAUUAAAAUAUUAAUUUUAAUAAAAUUUAUUAUUAUUUUUUAAUAAUAAUAAUAAUAUUUUUAAUUACAAUUAUAAUAAAUAUAUAUUUUUUAAUCUCGUCGCAACCGUUCAAAUGGAGACUAGCAAAAGUGGCAGCCGUUCGUGCAACAACUUAUUUCUUUGCCACAAUUUCAGACAAAACACUUUCGUGGAAACCUGUUGCACUCUUUUGUCUUUGACGAAAGAAUCAUUCCCUCUUCUCCAAGUAUCUAUCAAAACUGCCCCACCACAGCACGUCGUUAAUUACCAAACUCUCGUCUCACUUUCCUGAGAUCACAAACAAUAAAAUUUCCCGAUAAAAUAAAGUUGUCCCAGAGCUGAAAAAAAAAAGCUAUUAUGGCUAAUUCCAUGGACCAAACCGACUCUUCAUUUUCCUUCUCCGACUUCCCUGAAGACAUCCAGCUUUGCAUCCUUUCCUUCUUGUCCCCACCCGAGAUCUCCAGUUUCGCCUGCAGCUCAAAACGCUCCGUUUCCCUCUGUCGAAGCGACACCAAGUUCUGGUUCACCAUGUGCCAACGCCGGUGGGGCUCCAAGACCCAGAUCAAUAAAUGGGGCCGUGGCAACAUCACCUACAAGCUCCUUUACAAGACCCUAACCCAGUGGGAGAAUCUCAUCGGCUUCUGGCGCCACUGCGGUCGACCCAACCUCUCCGGUCAAUGUCCGGGGUUGAUCAUUUUCGAGUGGGGUCCAUCGUUUGUUUCCGGUUCCAGGGUUUGUCCUUCCAACGACGGCACCUAUCAUGUCACCAAAGCACCGUUUUUGUGGAUGGGGAUCUCCCCAGACGGGCAAAUCGUAAAUUUUCUCGAUCUAGAAGGACAAACUAAAGUUCCAUCCGGGGAUUUCGACAGUUGGUUGGAAUUUGUCUGUUUGGACCAAAAUCUGGUUCCAGUCAAUGUCAAUUUCAUGGGUAACGAUCACUUUAUAGUUGAAGAAAAUUCAACCUUUUGGCAUAGUAGUAAAAGUAACGCUGGGUUUAGAAGGAGUUCAAGUUCAAAGAAUUUGAUAGAAGAUAGUGAGGAAGUUAUUGUUGUUGGAGCUGAGAGCGGGAGCCCUGGGAGCUUACCGGACCGUUUGAUAUCGGAAAUGUAUACACAUUUCGCGAAUAGGAUAAGUCCUGGUGGAGAUAGAGCGUGGAGGAGGCAGAGGAAGAAGGAGAAGGAAAGGCAAGGGAGGAGGAAAUGGGAGCCUGAGCAUUUUCUUAAAGUUAUUGAUUGCUUGCCUACUCCGGAUAAGCCCUUGCAGGGUCUUUGGAAGGUGUUGUGAAAACUCCUCGUUUUCCAAAUUUUGUUUUCUGUGUCAGAGGUUAAAAACUUCUGUUUGUAAAUUUAUUGUUGUUGACUAAUGAAGUAGUUUCCUUUCAUGUGUAAAUGUGUAGGGCAGUGGAGUUGGAGUUAUUUUGGACUUGUAGAAUUUGUUAGGACAAUAGGAAUGCUUAUAAAGCUGCCUUCUGAUGUUUUUUUAGGAUGGUUUGCUUUAGACUUGGACGGUUGCAUUUUAGUUAAUUCACUUUUGAGUUCAUGCUGUCAUGUUAGACACUGAUUAAUUGUUGAUUUGUCUGGCUUUGUUUCAACAACUGUGGCAUGUUUUUGGCUUAUGUUUUUGAAUAUUGUAUGACAUUCUAACAACACAAUGCAACUAAGUAUCACUAGGGGAAAGCAAUGUCUGUUAGAGUAGGCAGUUGUUCAAUGGAAUAUGGUUUGUAGACAGCGGUAGGGAUAGGGAUCAUUUGUGUUUCGUAAACAUCAUUUUGUGGAUAUCAUCCAAUUUAUAAUUUAAGCAUAGAGUUAGAGAGACUUGAGGCACUGCCUUCGGACCCUAACUGUGAUAGUUGGUCCAAUUUGGUUUGCAAUUGCACUUGGUUAAUGUGAUUUACAAAUGCAUUUGGUUUUUCAGCAAAAGAGGUUUUGUAAUUCAACUGAAGUGCUUGAUAAAUAUUUCCCAACAUGCCACAUAUUUCUUUUGUUAAAGCUCAGUUUUGACUCUCUUCCAGCUUAUAAUUGCAGGGAAUAUCUGAUGACAUGAACUUGAAUUUUUAUCUUGUUAAAUAUGAUGAAAUUGGGGGCAUAAUUUGCCAUAGGGUUGGGGACUUGUCCUCCUAUGCUCCUCCAGUGUUCUGGACAUCAGAACCUAUGUUAAUGAAGUCACCAUUUUCUCCUGAGGAAGAACAUAUCUAUGAUGAUCGCAUACAUAUGCAGCCACUUGCAGCUCAGGAUCACGUUCAUAGUCAACCUGCCAUGACAGGCAUUGAGAUGGUUUCCCAAAUUCUGCACAUCAACUCAAGUUGCAAUUUAACAGUUUCAGGCUUGACAGGAUCUGCUGGUCUCCAGCAUGGAGAAGGAAGGAUUUGGAAGUACAUGAAUGGAACAUUUGGGUUUGGAUUUCUUCAGGACCAUUUUAUUAUAGACCUGAAACAUCUCAUCCAAGGUGGUUGUCUUCUUGAUUCAAUGAAUUUGUUGUAACGAUAAUUUACAUUGUUGGUGAUAAUUUAUGUACAGAUUGAUUUCUAACUUGGUGUCAUGCUUGCUCUGGCACUUCAAAUUAUUCUUUGUUGAAUAAUAAACAUCAUCUUUGUGGCAGCGUGAACUGUGAUGCUUUGAUUCCAUGGUCUCAUGGCCCAAAAUGCCUUGAAAAAGCUGAGAAAACUUUGUGCCAUCAUUUAUUAGACAGUUCUCCCAAGCACAAUAACUUGAGAGGAGUUGGUGCAUGAGUGGAGGAAACAUAACAUUGGUCCAGGCAGAUACUCUCCUUUUCUUUGGAGAAACAAUCGUUGACAACUGGUAGUAUACUUAAGACUAACAGGAAUAAUAACAAGAAUUCACAAACUACAAAAGUGUAUACCGAGACGCAAAUAGGUCUUAGCAUCUCAUUUGACCGCGAUGCUGCACAAAACAUUCAAAUAUAGCAAACAAAAGCCAACACACUUCAAUUAGAUCUAUCAGCAAAUUUAUGUCUUCUAACCAUAAACUCAUUCCAAUUGAGAAUGCAGGAAAUAUGAACCAGACAGAAACAUGGGAAAGAGAAGAUAGGAUAAAUUAUGACAGAGAUUAAGGACCAAACAUUUAUGACAGAGAUUAAGAUUCAGCAGGAACUUCUGUCACAUUAAUUUUCUCCUUCUCGCGUUCACCCUCAAGCUGGCUUAAGUUUCCCUUUUCCUUGAUGAGUUGACCAUGGUGGUGUUUGCAGUAAAGUCGGCCUUCAUGUGCAACAUAAUUGGAAGGGCUGAUCACACAUCCUCCAUGUGUGCAUUUGAAACAACUCUUGUGGUAAGGAGUUCCAUUCACAGUAACCUUUGGAUAGAAGAAAACACAUUUUUAUAGUUAGUGCUUGGUGACUGUGCCAACUGCUAAUAUUUUUGAGGUUUGAAAUAUGAAAGCAAAAUGCAAAAACAGAAAUUAGAAUAGAAAGAAGCGUCGGCUCAUUUUUAUUUUGUUCAUGUAGGAAAAGCUGCAUAUUACCCUCUCAGUUGGAUACACAGUAGUUUUACAGCCAAAACAUUUGUCUUUGGUUCCAGCAAACAUGCCUGACACUUUAGUUGCUGCAGGUUUCUGUUCAAAGGAGCUCAUAAAUAUGGGAACACACAUAUAACCCAUAUACAAGCAGGCGUAGAGGCUUCAAUGAAAUUACCUCACCAUCAACUGGUUUCUCUGGCUUUGCAAUUUUUGGGGUACCUAGGAAGAAAAUUGGAAUUGAAGUUGAAAGUCAGCUAGAUCUGUCCAAGAUAAUACUACUUUGAUUCUAUUUGAAAAUUUGAAGUUGCACCUUCAAAGCUUUUGUCAAGACUGCCAGUUCUUUUGAAAAGUUGAUCAAAAUGAGGUCUGCAGUACAAAACUCCUUCAAAGGAAUUGUAGUUGCCUAGCUGCAAAUGAGAUGUGUAUGUCAAUAUGGCUUUUUAUGAAAAACCUAAUGAUGCAAAUUACUAUUUUUCAGUUUUCCACAGGCAAACUGAGAUAUAGCAAUGAAGGCAUAACAUACCUAAAAUAUGGAAAGCUAUCUCUCUAAACUAUGCAAAAGGCAUCAGAUCGGAACAGAUAAAAGUAGAAGAGAUGUAGGCUGAGAGGAAAACAAUACAGACACUCCAGGAUUCUUUACUGCAUGAUCUAUAGUGUAAUAGUAUCAAAUCCAGGUAAAACCUGGCUUGAUUUCCAUUUUUGUUUUCAAAGAGGUUAGGGGCAAAUAUGACAUUUGCAGCAAGGAAUUGCCAUAGUAGGAAUUACCAACAAAAUUAAAAUGUCAUAGCACUGCAUGGCAUCAAUAAAGCUGGACUCUAGAGCAAGUAUUAAGUACUUACCUUCAAAGUUCCUUUGCAGUGAUGGCACCUGAAACAGGCCUUGUGAUACACCCUGUUGUCAGCAGUUAACUUAUCAACCAGAUAGACAGUCUUGUCACAGGCCAUACAUUUCUGGGUUGUUCCUGCAAAUGCCAUGGUUUCAGCUCUCACCUCACCAAACAAUUAGCAAAUCUAAUGUGUUAUGUUAUGUCCUCUCUUUUCUCUAGAAAGAUUAAUGGGAAGGUGAAAAGAAGAGAACAUAAGGAAAAGGGAGGAUGGAGAAAUGGAGUCACAAUUGAUUGCGGAGACCAAAAAGAGGACUUGUGUAAUAAAAGUGUCUUUUAACAAUCAUUUUUGUCCAACCUUGAAGCACCUAAUUGCCGUUGUCUCAAGAUAUUUUUAUUUCUUCUCUGUCCUCAAAUGAAUUUGGAUUCUCUUUCAGUAAUCUACUUGUUGAGAUAGACAGUUGCUUAAAUCUGCUUACUGAAUUACCCUAGUUGGAAAGCUACAUUAUUUAAAUAUUUGAAAUAAUGAUUUAGUGGAAUCUCACUGGAUGGUCCAAAUUACCAAGGAUGUAAGCCACCGCUAUGUUGCUUUAGGUGAGGCCUUCAAAGGGGUAGAUGUCCUGUCAGUAAUUGUUCAAUUCUAGGCUAGCAUUAUGGAGCUGCUUUGCCUUAAUGAUUUCAACCCGACAUAAAAACAAUAUAGGAGCCUCAUUGGCUGGUUUUUAAAAUUUUGCUUGAUUGCUUGGAUCUGUUUUGGCCUAUUUCUCCCACCAACAUCAAAAUCAAACAACCCCCAAGAAUAUCUGUUCUGCUGCAGUAUUGAGGUGAGGACCAUCCGAUUAUUAGUUUUAAAAUGAUUUUUCAAUAAAGAGGGGUGGGGGUUGGGGGACCAGAACGGUUAUAUCUUGCAAUUAAUUUGAUUUCCCCAUCUAUGAUUCUUAUUUUCUCAUACUAAAUCUCACAUUAAUUCAAAAAAAGAAAACUAAUGCUAACUGCUUUGCUUGACCUUCUGUUGUAUUUGUAUUUGUCUUUGUAGGCUAAAGCAUAAUUUUUAAAGUUUAAAUAAUUGGAAAAAGGGUAGACUAAUGGUAAAGAAGCAAAGCUUCUCCUGCUUGAGUAAAGCUGCUUGUAUAUCUCUGGCUGGGUGACAGAAACUUGACUUUUGCUACAAGAGUUUGGGACCCCAGGGCUUUGAAAUGCCAGCCCACUCCAUCCAAUAAACAUAGCUGUCCCGUCCUGUCCUGUCCUGUCCUGCUUUAACAUCAAAGACAUAGUUGCUCAAUAUUUUCUUCAGUUGCAAGCAUCGAGAUAGUUUGAAGAGCUCAUUAAACAACUGUUGCAUAUAAUAACGUGGCUAACAAAUAUAAGAAUUGCACAUGAGACUGAAAUGAUGGAAGUUGUGAGGUAACUCUCGACAAUGAUGAAAAUCAAACCAAAAAAAUGGAACAAUUAUAUUAAUUGGAAAUCAAUCUAUGUCUUUACAGCUUUCCCUCACUGCCCGAUGCCCCACUCGGAACUAACAUCUCGCCUAAUUUGAGCUCAAGGGCGGAGCAAACUCUGUUGUGUAUAGGGUUGGCAUCGGGUCGGGUUCGGGGCGGGUUUUGCUCGCCCCGAACCCGACCCGAUUUAAGCUUUAUUAAACUCGAACCCGACCUUACCCGAAAUUUUUUUUGAUUUUUCAUACCCGAACCCGACCCGACCCCCGAUACCACGCAACCGUACCCGACCCGACCCGACCCGAAAUUAAUAAAAUAUUAUUUUUUAAAAUAUAAAAUAUUAUUUUUUAAAUAUAAAUAUUUAAAAAUAUCAUUAUAUAAAUAUAUAUAAUAAAAAAUUAAAUAAUUAAUUAAAAAAUAAUUUUUUAUAUAAUAUCGGGUCGGAUUUUAGGCAAACCCGACCCCGACUGGUUUCUUAUUUUACCCGACCCGACCCGACCCCGAAACCCGAAUUUCAAAAAAAAAACCCGACCCCGUGAGGUCGGGUCGGGCCGAAACCCGUCGGGGACGGGUUAACUGGCCAUCCCUAGUUGUGUAAGCUAAACAGUAGCACAAAAGUACAGUAAAUUUGGGCUAAAAUAUUUCACAGAAACAUGGGAAAUCGGCAAAUGGCAAAUUCCUUCCCCCUGAACCAAAAGACCAAAAAGAAAAUUUCCAAAGCUUCAUGUGAAUGUGCCCCAUAGCAACUUAGCAUUACAGCUUGUAAUCAUGUAGUCUACUGUAAACCAUGUGCCAAAACCACCUGUUGGAGUUGGACUACCUCAGCAUUAUUAUUACUGGUGUUAUUUUUAAUUGGAUCAGACAGAUGAUCUUUAACCAUAAACCCAGGGGCCACUUGCUGCAAAAUUUUAGCCUCCUUGCUAUUGCCGAACAUUGUGUGAUUGACUUUGCUGGCAAAUGCCAUGAUGUUUGAUAUUCAUCGAGUAGAACACUAUUUAUCUCCAUUUCUAUAACCCAAAAAAGCAUACUAGUAGGCAUUAGAAAUAUUAUACAUGUAUAUAUAUUAAACAAAUUUCUUUUUUUCAAAAGGGUACGUUAACUGGUGUUUAAAAUUGUAGUUAGUAAUCACCAAAAUCUAAGCAUUAGUGGGCGCUUGGUCUAGUGGUAUGAUUCUCGCUUUGGGUGCGAGAGGUCCCGAGUUCGAUUCUCGGAGCGCCCCUUCUUUUUUUUUUUUGCGAAAUUGCACAUCACUUUCUCGAAAGUUCUUGAUUCUCUAGUUCAUCUACUCCAUCUCAAACGGUUAAACCCAGAAACCUCAACUGUAACUUGUCGCAACAGAAGCAAUUGCAACCUUGGAAACUCUCUUUGUCUAGACCAAAGUGAAAAGGCUUCAACAAGCUUCUGGACCAGGUAAAAGAAGAUUUCUUUCGGAGCAUAUUUAGUUGGAGCAAACAAAUUUGGCAUUUUAGGGAAUCCCAAUAAAACUAUUUGGUCCUAAUCCAAUUGUUUGUGCUACAAUCUUAUGGCUUUUCCACUGGAUUCGAAUUUGCGUAUGUAACAUAUGGAAAGAUUUACCCUUCGCAAAAGUUCAGCCCUUUGAAAAGUGUUUGCUUCGAGUUUUUUUAAUACACAUUCUGUUUAAGAAGAAUAACUCUGUAUAUUUUGUAUGGUUCUAAACACACACUGGGUUUUGCAAUUCCCAGGUUUGCAUUGCUGAAAUCAGAUACCUUUUCUUCUAGGUAACCUUGACUUGGAAAAUUUUCUAUGCAAAUAUAAGCAUUUAUAGAGAGAAGUAGGAUGGUGUUUGGGCAAGUGGUGAUUGGUCCACCUGGAUCAGGAAAGACUACUUACUGCAAUGGCAUGUCUCAGUUCCUCAAACUUAUUGGAAGGUUGUUCCUAUUUCUUGCUUCUAGUUUCUUCAUUUGUUCAUGCACACAUGUUAGAUAGAUUAUGUUAGAUGUGGCAGAAGUUGACUGUUUCCAUGCCAUUCUUUGGUGCAGAAAGGUUGCUGUAAUCAAUCUGGAUCCAGCCAAUGAUUCAUUACCGUAUCCUUUUAAUUAGCAAUUAUUUGUAACAUUGUUUUCCUUGUCUUGAAAGUUUGAUCGACAUGAACUCUCCUUGACACUAAUAUAGUUAUGAGUCUGCCAUCAAUAUUGAGGAUCUCAUAAAACUAAGUGAUGUGAUGAAAGAACAUUCUUUGGGGCCUAAUGGAGGUGUACCUUUUUUAUUCUUAGUUUCUGCUUUCUUUUGGUCUACUACUGUAUCAAAGGGUUUCAAAGGUCCAAUCAGAUAAAUCAUAAAAUGAGUAAAUCAAGGCAUGUGGUAUCUAUAAAAGGUGUUAUUGUAUUAUAGAUUCUCUAGUGAGCUGUCAGAAGAAUUUCUGUGGGUCAGAACCUUAGAUGCUGAUUCUGUUAAUGUUUUCCUAAAGAAUUGAGGGACCAUGCGCAAUGCAGUAUUUGUUGGUUUGCUGUGGAUACAGAAUUAAUUUGAAGUGCAAUGUUGUGUUUAUGCUCAUUAUGGUUCUAGCUCAGGUUUGCUUGUCCGGUGGUAUCUAAAGUAAUUUUUGUGUGUGCAACCAGGUCUUGUCUAUUGUAUGGAUUAUUUAGAAAAGAAUAUUGAUUGGUUGCAGUCUAAACUGGAACCUCUUUUGAAAGGUUGGUAUCUUCUGCCUUUUCUUCUUCUCAAAAAGUUUAGGCUCUAAUCUUGAUUUUGUUUGAUAAAUAUCAUAACAUGCAUCUAGUUAUAAAAAGGCAAUCCAGCUUUCUCAAGGAGAUCAAUGGGUGUUGAUUCAUUCAGAAGGAUUUGAACUUGUCUUUGAUGGGGUGUCUCAAGCAUGAUUGAACAGUCAAAUUUGUGCAUUUCUGUGUUUGAGGUGUUUACCUUCUUUAGGAAACCAACAAUAGGAACAUGUACAAGGCACUAACCACCAAGACAUAUUAAUGCUUUUCAUUAGAGUUUCUAUAUUAGACUACCAUGUGCAUUUUUAUCUUUGUGUAACUAGAUAAUUGAUGUCCGGUUUUGGGAACAGAAACUAUUUGACAUCUAGUAUGCUCUAAAGUAGGUAUAGUGAAGUUAUUGGUUGAUAUAUCUCUCUAUUUAUUCAAUGCACCAUGUUAUAAUGUAGGGAUUAGAAGGCUAUUGUAAUUAUAGUUGUAUUUCUAACGAUUUUUAUAAUUUACAGAUCACUAUCUUCUUUUUGAUUUUCCCGGCCAGGUUGAACUAUUUUUCCUUCACUCAAAUGCCAAGAAUGUUGUCAUGAAGCUCAUUAAAAAGUUGAAUCUUAGGGUAUGGUUAUGUCUUUUCCUCUUCAUAGGGUGCUGAACUAAAAUUGAUUUUAGCUUGUUAUCUUGAUUUUAAGAUUGUAGAAAACUGAGUUAUUUAUUUUAUGCAGUUGAGUGCUGUACAUUUAGUUGAUGCCCACCUAUGCAGUGACCCUGGGAAGUAUGUUAGUGCUUUGCUUCUUUCUUUAUCUACCAUGUUGCACUUAGAGCUGCCACACAUCAACGUCUUGUCUAAGAUAGACCUAAUUGAGAGCUAUGGAAAGCUGGGUGAGCUUGAAGUAUCAAUUACUAUGCUACAAGCCUCAAAGUGCUAGUACUAUGGUUAAUCAUCUUAUCUGGAUGUGUUGCAGCUUUCAAUCUGCAUUUCUACACAGAUGUGCAAGAUUUAUCAUAUUUACAGCACCAUCUUGAUCAGGAUCCCCGCUCUGCUAAGUAUAGGUUUGUUGUUACAGACUUGUUAUUUUGGCAUUUUUCACCAUGCAUAACACAUUAAGUUUUCUUUGUUGAUAAGUUUACACUUUUGCUUUUGAAUGUCCUUAAUUCUAUCCCUUCAUUUGUUGAUCUGGACCAGAAUUCAUGUACUUAUCCUCAAUUUUUACAUUUGGAUGCUAAUAUCUAUAGCAUUGAGGAGAUAAUAUUACAUACAAGUUGGAUUUUUCAAGGGCUGCCAUUGAUAUGCUACUGUGAGAUGUAACCAUAAGUGUUUUUCAUUAAGUUUAAUUCGGUUGACAGUUCAUAACAAGGCUACUUGCUGUAACUAUAUUCACCCUAAAUCUUAGCUUCCCCCAAUUUUUGAGGUCAUCUCAAUCAUCUGAAUUCUUCUUGCAGAAAGCUUACAAAGGAGCUAUGUGAUGUAAUCGAAGACUUUAGUCUGGUCAAUUUCACUACCUUAGAUAUUCAGGCAUGCCAGUAACUGUAUCUUUCUUGAGUUAUAUUGUUCUUCUUCACUUUAUUUUAUAGUUUUAUGUAGAUUUUCUGUUAAGCUGAUUCUCCUUUCAGGAUAAAGAGAGUGUUGGGAAUCUUGUGAAGCUUAUUGACAAGAGUAAUGGAUACAUAUUUGCUGGUAUAGACGCCAGUGCAGUUGAAUUCAGCAAGAUUGCAGUACGACAAGUUGAUUGGGAUUAUUACAGAUAUCCUUUUAUCUAGAUCUAGUAUGCAUAUGCUCUUAUUCACUGUAGCAAUUAUACCAUCAAUUCUCAUUAACAAUUCAGGCCGUCACAUUUCAAGUUGUGAAACCACACAGCUAUGCCAUUCUCUAAAAGUUUUUGAGCCUGAGAUAAAUUCUAACUCUACCAAAGUUGUUAAUUCAUCAAUUUCUUGAUGGUUUCAUGAGUUUCUCUUAACAAAUCAGUCCACAGCUGCAGCAGUGCAAGAGAAGUAUAUGAAGGAUGACGAGAAUUUUGAUGAUGAUGAUGAUUGACAGUGCUUUUUGGUGAGACAAAAGUGUGCCUAAUUGCCUAAGGUGAGCUAGUUGCAACCUUGUGCAUUCCCAUCUUUUGUUCAUUUUUAUGUUUGCUUUUAACCAUUUGGACUUGGUAAUCUCAAGUUUAUGGAAUUUAAUUUUCUUAUUACGAUCAAGAGAAUAUACAGAAAAUGAUAAAUUUUCUUUUGUUUCUUCCUUUUCAUAUUUUCCUGUUGUUAAAUCCUAAUUUAAUUCUUGUAUCAUACUCAUGAACUUCAAUUUUGUAUAAUCAAGAAAAAUAUUAUUAAAAAAAAGAAAGAGUUUACAAGAACGUGCCCCUUCAAAGAGUUGUAAAAUUUAAGAAACUAGAAUUACAAGGAACGUGGAAAGCUGGUUUUCUCAUGCAAUAAACGUAUGUUCACAACAUCCUUUUUCCUAUAUUUUCAUUUCAUUUGUUUUUUUCCCGGUGGAUGUUCCAAACAAGUGUUUUGGCAUAGACGGCUUAUCUGAGGGUUGGAAAAACCAAGUCAAUGAAAGUAAGCCGUGUUUGGCAUAGUUUGAUUUUUUAUUGUUGAGUUUCUAGGAGUUUACAUGUACAUUGGCUUGCCAAGAAUAUUCUUCACCAAGUUUCAAAGCAAUGGUUUCUAAUUCUAUAAUCUGUAUGAUUAUAAUUUUUUUUCUUUGUUUUGACUGUUCUUCCAGGCCUCUUUGUUCAUUACCAAACAGAAGGUUUUUUUUUUUUUUUUCUCAAUUUGCUUAAAUUCCGUAUGUAAUGGCAUUUGUAGCUCCUUAGCCUUGCGGUCAUCUUUGAAGUUUGAAGGAUUAAAAAUAACACGUGUUUCCCAAGUUUGUAUUCCUGUUUUUGUCUUUAUUUUUCUGAUUGAAUUGAUUUAUAAAAAAACAAAAACAAAAACAGCUCAAAAUAGAUAUUAUGUCUUUGAAUAAUUGCAAGAAAAAAUCCAAACUUUGCAAAACUGGUGAUGUCAAACUCGUACAUAUGUAAAUAGGAAGAUAUACAAAUGACAUGAUCAUCAUUCAAACAUUGUUAUCAUGUUUGUUCUCAAUGGAUUACUUUCUUUUUUUCCUUGAAUCAAACAUUCCUCUAUUUCAAAGAAAAAAAAAUAAAAAACAAAAAAGAAAGCAUUUUCCUCCAUUUUUUGGCACCAAUUACAAAUUCUCUUGAUCAAUGAGUUAUCAAAAAGGAGCAAGAAUAAGCUGAAAAUAUAUUUAUUUACUCAUGAAAAGGCAGAAGAGCCUCCAAAAAUUAAAAAAAAAAAAAAAAAGGAAUGAGAUUUCAUGCUUCAUGGUGAUAAAACUAGUUUUGGGUAUUUUGACCACUUUGAGCUUAGUGCUAUUUAUUGUGAUAAAUACUAAAAUAAGCAAUAUAUAAAGUGAUAUUCUCCUUAAGUAAUUCUUAUUUUCAGCUUAAGAAUUAUUAUACAAUCUAUUGUAUUUGAGGAGUCAGUUUGAAAUAUAUGUUUAUGUACAAGAACUAAGAAGAACAAAAAUCACUUAAAACAAACCUGGGUAAUUAUAUCAUAUGGUAUAAGAUUUACUGAGAUAAGCAGAUCAUGUGGAAGAGAAGAGCUGAAUCCAACUGCUGCAUCAAUGUUUUCCCAGUCCAAAUCUUCACCUACCCAAGUAACCCGCAUCACUUUUCAACUAUCAAUAAUUCUUGGGUAUUUCAUCUAGAAAGUGUUUACAUAAUAAUUUACAGUACAGAUGAUUAUAUAUAUAUAUAUAUAUAUAUAUAUAUAUAUAUUCCACUGUCACUGCAUCAUUCGUUUGAGAUAAUAUCAAUCCGACCAUUUCAAGCCCUCCUCUAGAAGCAAUAGUAUGUUAAACUGUAGCCUUCACGUCAUAAAAAAUUCUGGUAUGGUGAACUUUUUUUCUUCACAUUCAUGUUACAUAUCCAAGACUAAUUAAUUUUAUAUUACACUCUUGUAGAAGUCAAACGAUACCAAAAUCCAUGAGGAAACUGUCAACUACUCGGAGGAAUUUCUUGUUUUGUUUUCUAAAACAUUAAAUUUGACCAAGUUGGAUUGGAGCUGGUCUUGUCAGAAGAAUCCUUUUAUUGAGUCCUGUGGCUCUCCUUUACUCUGUUCCAAUCAAAACAAGACCAAAACCCAGAGUCCUGUUACAAUUCUCCAUAACUCACUUACAGAUGUUUCAGCCUUUUAUCUGCGGAGCUUUCAAUCAUCAAGAAGAAGAUGAUCAUGAGCUUUGGAGCAUCCCUAAUUCUUCGCCAAGAAAAUCAAGAAGGAACAGCUUUUCUAAGAGCCAUUACAAGGAUAACAAGAACCCAUAUUCGAAUCGUGGUCUUGACAAGUUUUCUGCACUCUUAGCUGAACUUGAAGAGAAAAGACAAAAGAUUUACUCUCAAACAGAUUCACAAGAUAUAUCAUUCGUUCGUUUCAUGUACAAGAACUCGACAGAUUGUGUUCCAAUCGUGGUAAAGCUCAAGGACAAGAAAGAAGAAGAGACAAAGAAACCUGUUGUUGAUACCAAAGAUCAUCAGCCUGGAAAGAAUAUUGAUUCUGAAGUCUUGGAUAAACAUCCAAUCGAAACAUUAAUUGAAGGGAAAGAAGUAAUCAAGAAGAUAUCAGGAUUGCAAUCAGUUAGUGAAAAUACUGAGAAGAAGAAAAAGAGCUUUUCAUGGAAUAUGGAGUUACAUAAAUGGAGGCGGCCUUCUUACUAUUUACCAGCAUUUCUAGUCCUGAUUUUGUUGCUGUUGGUGUUUUUAGGAAGAUCAGUUUCGAUUUUAUUUACUUGUGUUGGAUGGUAUAUAGUUCCUAUAAUUCAAGGACAGAGUUCCACUAAGGUGAGAAGAUCAACGAAGACGAAAGAUUAUGUCAGAAAGUUGAGUGAAAACAAAUCCGGAGCUGUCCGGGACAAGUCAUCCCCGGUACAUGAUCAUCGUCGGAAAAGCUGAUCAAGAGGAUUAAGUUGGAUUGAAGAAUUCAUUCACUCUGACAUGUUCAACAGUGUAAAUUCUUGUGUGUAAAGUUGAAUUGGUAAAUAGAGAAUUCUAAUUCAGGUUGGCUUAUGACAUUUUCUUAGUCAUGAAACUUGGUUGUGAGAAAUUACAAAUGUUGGUUUUGAAUAAUUUAAAGUAAAAUAUUUUGUGAAGGAUGCGGAGCAUUCUCAUGUGAUUCUUGCCUUGAUAACAAUAGAAUGAUUCAUUCAAAUACAUAGAUGAAUAUGGAGUUUAAGCCCACCUUUUUUAGUAGAUGAAUUUUUGCAAAGUUAAAAUUCGGUCCUUAAUACAUAAUUUUUUUUUUUCAAUUCUCCAAAACCUUGACCUCUUUUGUAUGGAAAAAAAAAAUACUUAAAACAACUUGUUUAAUGCUUUAGAUAAAAAGGCAUAGAAAUGAGCAACUAAAAAAAAAAAAAAGGCUUAGAUACGUCUUUCGCUUUGUGACCUAAUGGCCACAAAAGCCUUUAGAAAGAUAUAAGGAUUUGAUUUCAAACCAAGCCUCCCCCUCUUCCCCACUUUAAUAUGGCUUUCCCCCUCUCCCCCCCUUGAACCAAAAAAAAAAAAGAAAAAAAGCUUGCAUACUACUAUUUCCAAAAAUGAGGAAGAAAGCAUGGAGCUCCCUGAGGUAUUAUUAUAUUUGUAAGGUGAAUUGUUUAAUGUUUGAGCACACCUGGAACCCUACUUUUUAUGUACGAUUAGGUUUGAACAAAGGAGAAACGAAAACAUUUUGUUUCAGAGAUAUUGAUGUGAUAUUAUUUCAUUUUGAUCCUUGUCUAUUUAAGUCUGUUACAAUUUAAUACAUUAAUUGGAAAGCUCCAUUAAAGCAGAUGAAGUAUGUUUAUACCACAGUUUUGACUUUUCGACAGUGCUGUUUUAGUUUAAUAGAUUAUUCAGUAGCAAGGACAUUAUUUUAACAUUUUUAAGAUAUUUAAGACUAAUAAAAAUAAAUCCAAGAACAAAAUUCAAAAGGGUGAAAGAACUAAUGACUCAAUUUUCAAUAGUACCACCAUAAUAAUGGCCACAGCAUCAAACUAGCAACUGCCCUAAAAGAUGUGCUUAAGUCUGAAGUCUAGCAUCAUUUCAAAAGGAAAGAAGAGAGUAAAGAAAGGGAAGGAGGGCCGAGCUGGGCACAAGUUUUACAGAUUGCAUCUUUUCAUAAAUGGCUAAAUAAACAUAAAACUGUUACGAGGCUAACCAAAUGCAAAAUGCCAAAAUUCAUCCAUCAUUUAUCCGCAACCCUGUCCUCAUACAAUCCCGUAGACCAAUCUGUAUAAAUCUUUCAAAAUGGAUUGGUCUAAAUCUUUCAAAAUGUGCAUCAGUAUCUCUAUUCCUGCAUUCAAAGGAAAAAAGAGGAUCACAAUCUAGCUGAGAAUAUAAAUCAAAUAACUGCACCAAAUGGAUUCAACCAACUUAUCAGCCAGUAGUAAUGAUAGAAAGAUCUUUUUUUUUUUUAAAUAAGAUGCCUAUUUAACCCCUAAUUUAUAAUUUAUUGAGCUAAAUUCUGACCUUAAACCUCUUUCUGCGGGUAUCAUUGGAAGUGAAAUGAGAUAUAUGAGGUUCAUGUCUGGCAGCUUCAGAUCUGUAUCGUACUGCUGCAGCUUCCUGCAUCCUGCUGCCCUUCUCUUGAUUUUGACUUCUUGAGUUCCGGAAAAAGCCAUCCUUGUCCCAUGUGACCUCAUAAUCAGCACUUAAUAGAGAUCCUUGCUGAUCAAGAAUAGAUGAGUUUGGAUAUCAGCAAAACUACUGAUUAUAGUUGUUAAUAAAUGAAUUUAUAAAUGCAAUUUAACUUCAUCCCAACCUACAAGCAAUUAGACUUAGCAAUGCUAACAAAAUAACUGAACAAAAGUAUCAUCUCUAACAACACCAUAAUGAUCAGCACAAUCAACCUUUUUUUCCCACAUUUUGAACUUAGGCAGUGAUAAGCUCUUGUGCACGAAGCAAAUGACUAGCGGUGGUGUGCCAUUGAAUCCGAAGCAAAGAAACAACUCAAGACAAGGUGCAAGGCUCAAGAGCAAAAUACUUCCACACUAUGAUUAAACAAGCAAAAUCAAGGAAUUCAUACCUUUCGUAAUGAGCGACCACAUAGCACCUUAAGUGCGUUAUAGAAAUCCCUGUAUUUCUCGAAUUGAACCACAAUCUUACAAUGAAGACCUGAAACUAUGUUUAAGUCAUCCUCAUCUGUCUCCUUACCAAAAUCAUCGUCCUCAGCAACAUUAAGGUUCCUAUUGAGGGUAAGUUAAAGGAGCAGUAAAAAGAAUAUUGUACAAUCAGGUAAUAUUUAAAUAGUAGCAUUAACAAUAAAAAACACAAUGUAUAAUAUAUAUUACACAUGUAGCAAUAAGUGCAUGAAACCAUAUUAGAGAAUAGCAAUAUUAUAUCAGUCUAUCGCAAAUUCAUAUGUAUUCAUCAGUCUUCAUAGGGAAGAAAAUUUUAUGAGCAUCUAAUAGCAGCGACUUGCCUAAAUCUAAAAAAAAGUAAGAAAAUAAAGCACCACCAUGAGAACAACGUGCAAGGAAUUUCAUCAAGGUAAGCCAAAGGCUGGAAUUCUCAUAUCUAUUCAAUCCUUAAACAAUAUUACAAUCUUAACAAUUGCAACCUUGGCUAAUAUAAAGUAAACAACAACAAAUCAACAAUGUUAACAGAAAGAAAAGUAAAAGAGUAGCUAAAAUUAAGCAUGUGAUAGAUAAUGUGCCAUUUGCUCCAAAAAAAGAUUAAGGCUUUGAUUCGUUGGAAUAAUGGAAAGAGGUAAGGAUAGGAAAAUUUAUUAAUCUAAUGGUUAAGCUACAAAGUAGAAAAGUUGUUAUGAAUUUUAACAAUUAAAUUAACAAGCUUUCCAUCCUCACAUAUUUCCCUCCUUCCUACCCUACCAAGCAAAGCGCAAAGUUACAAUCUUUCAAACCCAUCUAAAACAUCAGAGAAACCGCAUUUUUCAUAGGCACUAUUAGGUUUAUUUUUGGGUUCAAAGGCCAAUAGUCUUUUCCCUCAUUAAAGACUGUCAGACAGCCAGGAGUAUUUUUAACUUUUGGGCCAACCUGACAUGUACAGUGCCACAUCAACUCCGCUACAUCAUUAUACUACUCCACCCUCACAUUCUGCCUAUAAAUAGAGCCAUCCAAGUACUAUCUGUCUAAUCUAACAUUUGCCUUGCUUUCCUAUUUUCCUUUCCUUCUAACCUCUAAUUUGAGAGUUGGAGUACAAAUGCAAAGAACAACCCUGCCCUUGAUCUUAACGGCUCUCUUUCUCUCUUGUGAUUUCAGGGCCUUGACGCUCAGCUUGGAGCUCGGCACAAAUAGGCACAAACACUAGAGUUUCCAAACAUUCAACAACAAAGGCUUCACCUAACGUACUAGAAGUAUAGAAUUCAGUAAACAGAAAAACAAACCAAACAAUUAAAGGAGAAAAAGAAAUGACCUUAUCUUCCCAAAUGUAGAAAAAAUAGUAUGCGUCACCAGCAUCGAAGGCUUGGAUGAAACUCUUGGUUCCGCAAACCACCGCGAUGGAACCCCUCUCAACACAAUCGUAUCCGGCUCUUGCCUUCCUCCCCUCGAAUAACCUACAAAUAGAAAUUCAUUUUUUAAAAGAAAGAAACAACUUAAAUUCAAGAACUACAAAGCUUACAAACCUCGAUUUCGAAAAGAAUAUAACUCCUCCCAAUCUUUCCUCAUUCUCUCAAAAUCAUCCGAAACCGGAAUUUCAACACUAAGAUUAUACUUAACUCCUUCGAGAUUAAGCUCGAUCCCAUCCAUUUUCUCCGCGGCAUACCUUCUCCAAUGCAAAAACUUCUUUUCCAAUUCCUUCUCAUCAUCUUCUUCCUUAUCACUUUCUUCACUCUUCUUCUUACUAUUCAAAAACCCAAGGUCACGAAUAAGGAUAGCGCCGUGGGCAACCGCCUCGUCGCGCUUCCGUUUCUUGAGGUCUUUGAGCCGUCUGAUCUGGAGAUCUUCUUCGGGGACGGUAAUGGAGACGGAAAGUGAGGUCUUGAGGAAAUCUAUUAGGGCUCGUUUUAACUGCCAUUCGUCGAUGGGCUUCGAAACGGAAGGAAGGGACGGGUAGAUUGUAAGAUUGAGUUUCACGCGCGGGACGAGUGACAGACCGUUCUCGAUUUCUAGGGUUUCCGUUGGCGGCAGUGUCUCUAACGGUCGCAUCUUCCAAGUUUCGAACUUUGCCUGCAAAUCCUUAAGACGAUUAUUGUUAGGGUUUAAAGGAGGAAAAAACAAUCAGCUUAAACGCAGUCGUUUAGAUCUUCAAGCCGCUAAAAAUGGCUUUGUCAAGACGCAAAGAGGAAACAUGCAGUUUAAGAUACCAACGAAAUUCCGCCAGUUAAAUUUCAAGGGCUCUUCUAAAAAGACCGGGGAGCCUUUGAGUUAUGACAUGGCGUUAUUCUAUUGGUUUGUCUUGGGGCUAAAGAUGUACGCGGGAGCGUAAUAUAUAAAAUAAGGGGCGAAGGAAAUCAAAGCUCAAAGGAGAGAAACAAGGAGAGGGGAAGAGCGGAAAAAAUGGGGUGUUUCUCUUGCUUCGACCGAGGAAACAAAGAACAGCGAAAGGAGCAUGAAAGAUUGGCCUCCGCCGAAGCUCGUGCCAAAGCCGUCGAGGCUGCUCAGAAAAGGUAAUUUGAUCGCCCCCACUUUAUUUUAAUUUCCCAGUCCUUUCUUUUACAAUUCGCCUUUUCUUCUCUCAUAUUCGGUUGCUUUUGUUACACUGUUAGUAAUUCAGCAUAAUAUUAGAGGUUGAUUCGUUUGUUGUCGAAAAUUGUUCGGUUAUUGAGUUUUGAUCAGAACAGAGAAAUUCAUUACAGAAAAUUAGGGCUUGUGAAAAUUAGUUUCGGUUUGAUUUUCUAUUGAAAUUGUGGUAUGAAUUUUUAGCAGUGAAGUAAUGAUAUCUCAUUUUUUGCUCUGUAAUUGUGAAAGUCUGAAAGAACCUGAACUGUUCCUUUGGUUUGAUGUCAAAGAGAGAGAAGAAUGACGAGAGUGUUGGGAUUUUUUUGUAACAGUUAUAUUUAUGGCAGCCUUUUUUUUAACAUUUAAAUCAUUGAUGAAAAUCGCAGGCAAGAGCAGUUCGAACAGUCAGCUGCGGGAAGAGCUGCACGUGCACAGGUACAAGGGGCUGCAAAGCAAUCAGCAAAUUCUAAUAAAGGCGAACCUGUUUUGAAGGUUUUUGUUAACUAAUUUGCUCAUUUAGCUUUAACUACAAUGGUUUCUCAACUUUUAUGGUUUUUAUUAAAAUAAAAUCUGCCUCAUACACGGGGGAGUUGGGGAGGGGAUUGGGAGUUUCACUUCGUCUUAUUGAGGCUUGGUCUUUCUAUAAUGAUGCCCUUGUCCUCCAAUCUCUGCCAUGCUGCCAUUGGGUCUUGCACUCUGUUAAACAAUUUCAUUUCCUUUGGGGAUCAUUUCCAAGCUCUUUACAGUUCGGUAACACUAUACAAAUUUGACCCUUUUGUUGGUUGGUGAUUUUGUUGCAGUGGCAAAUGGGUUGAAGUUGAAGUUUUGCUUAGUCUCUGUUCAGCCAAAACUGCUCAUGUACAUAACGGUAAAUCUUUCUACAUGGUUAUUUGAUGUAACAUUUUGUCGAGAGAUUUGCCAUCAAACAUUUCAGCAUUUUCUUAAAUCAGCGGGUUUUCUUUCUUAUGCACAUCAUGGUUUCCACUUUGGUAAUAUUAUGCUUAUCGCCAUCAAGAAUUUAGCACAUUAGAACAAAGUUUCUAUUCUAUGAUCAUUGCAUCUGAAACUCAAGUUUUCUGAUGUCUAAGGUUUCUUCACAUUAUUAGAGAUAGAUUUUUGUUCCAUCAGAUACCGGUUCUAGCUUUAUGCAGGAGAGUUUGACAUCAUUUCAAUUUCACUUAGUUUUGCACUUUGUGAACUUAUUGUUUUCUGUCGUGCAGAAAUAAAAAAUCAGAUUCUACAGUAGUUUCCAUGUUGCCGGUUCCUCUUGUCAUGAAGCAAGUGGUAUACUACAAAUGCUCCAAUAAUCAAUUUUUUUUUCUGCUUCUUUCAAUUUUAAUGUAUGAGAAAUCCAAGCUGAAGUUAAAACAGUAAUCUUACGUUUUCUCAAUUUUCUGUACCGAUGCCCAUCCCUACCCCUCUCUAUUUCUGUCCAAGUAUUUUUUUUAUGCCUGGUUUUCUGAUUUAAUGUAUAUUUAGUAUAGUUGGAAUGUAAAACUGUGCAGGUUGAUUAAAUAAUGCAGUCAAUUGUUGGAAAUUUUGGCCGAUUAUCUCUCAAUUGCUCAUAAUAAUAAUAAUAACAACGGCUUGUUGUGGCAUGGUAUUGAGCUUCUACGAAUUAAAAUAAUCUUGCAAUGGAGGAAAACCUGUGAGCUGUGACUUGGAGAAGAAUAUUGAUAUUAACAGAAAAAAUUGAAGCCGAAGAGUAGGAGCUUGCUAUACAUUUUAAUAGGACAUCGGUUGCUGAAUGACAGUGAGUAGAGCCAGCAAAAUUGACUUCAAAUUCCUCAUUCUAGAAAGCCUACUAAGUGAUAACUAAUUAAAUUCCACCAGCAUGUAAAGGCCUCAACAGGAGCUGAUAGCUUCAGCUCAUAGGCUGCUUGAAGGUAGUCUGCUGCUUGUUGUAAUGAGCCUUCCUUCUUUGCAAUCAAUCCCAGGUUCCUCCAUGCAUCGUGAUUUGUGGGAUCUAACCGAAGAGCAUUCAUCAGAAAACUUCUUGCGAUUGGGAAUGAUUGGCUGCCAAGUUUUGUGAGUACCGCUGCAGUUGAGACAAUGCUGGGCACAUAAUCUGGUUCUAUUGACAGUGAGACUGAGAAGGAUACCAGGGCUUGUUUAUAAAGUGAUUGAGCUUCAAAUAAUAAGCCUGCAAAUACACCUUGGAAAUUAGAAUGGAAGUGCCAUUGUUGGUUUUAUAACAAUCACGCAGCGUUUUAUGGCAUUUCUACCCGUUGUAUGCCAACUUUUGGGUGAACAAAAUUCAAUUGACUUGGCUUUGUUUACACAAAUUUCUGCAUCGGCCCACGAACCAAAUUUGGUGUAAAUAGUAGCUAGAUCCUGCCAGACAGCCAUUUCCAUAUUUCUUUCCGCUACAUUCUGCAAAAGAUAUAAGAUAUGAACAGGAUGAAAAACAUUUUGCUUUUCUUUUUCACCAAAUGUAAGUUUUCACAUUUUCUCUCACUGGAAAAGGGAAUGCAAUGAACUCAUCUUGCUAAAAAAAGAUCGUCAAAUUAGUAAAUAUUUUAAGUUAAUUACAAUUAUAAUCUGCACAUGCAUGAGAUGUAGGUCCAUACUGCUGUUUAAGGCCAAAGAACUUGUACCUCUGAAUCAGAACUCUUUACAUGAACAGAGUUAUUAGGCUGGAGUUCUCUUUGUGCUUGAAUCAGAGAUAGCAGGAUUCGGUAAGUUUCAAUUGCUUGCUUGGGCAGUUCCUGAGCAGUCCGAAGCACAGCUUUUAGUCUAAGAAGUUUUAACUGAUCCAACCUACCAGCUUCAUCUAAAGCGAACUCAAGUAUGGUUUCAGCAUCUUUGAACCGCUGGUCUGCAGAAAGUAUUAGUGCUAAUAGCCUCCAACCUCUUCCUGAGUUUCAGUCACCAUGUUAGUGUACGUCAUUGCAUUGUCAAAGGCCACAUCCAAAUUCCUCUGAACUGCAUUUUCAAAGCUGAGGUUAAACAUCACCUCAGGAUCUUCCUUCAUAUAGAGAGCAGCAGAGUUAAGAGAGGUCAAGGAUUCUUUCUGAAAGAGAGCUCUUUCAGAAUCAGAUACGGAAAUUCUAGCAGCAUUUCCAUAGCAAACACCAAGGAACUUAUGGGCUUGACCCUUGAAAUGUUCAUUCCCUUGAUCUGACAAAUCAAUCACAUUACGAGCAAAAGUUAUUCCGUAAUAAGCAUGCUUUGGAUCUUGAGAAGACAACUUUGCACCAAACAGUAGAGCAGGGAUAUGAAGUUUGUGCUUUGCUUCGGACUGGCCAGAAACCUUCUUUAAUAAGUUCAAUGCUACCUCAUUCUGACCAGCAGCAGCAUAACAAAGAGCAAGAAGGUACCACCUCUCUGCUCUUUCAUAUAUACCUGGAAGGGCCUGCUCCAUAUGACCUGAUAGUAAUUCAAACUGCCCAGUAACUGAGAGAGCAAAAGUCAGGUGAUCCACAAUUUCUGCAUCCCACUUUAUUUCUCCAAAUGCCACUUUUUGCAUAAGUACUAGAAGGAGAAGAAUUGCUUCCUCCAUAUUACCAUUAGGGGUAGUUGAACCCCAUACCUGUAAGUGAGAAGCGAGACUUGUUUCAACACCACCAAAAAGUAACGCGGCAGCUAAGUCUUUUUGUACACUUGCUAACCUCUGGGGAUCCAAAUUCCAUGGCUUGACUAAAGCCCGGCGAAAUGCAGUUAUAGCUUCAUUGAGAAAGCCUGCGUUGAUCCAUAGAUUAGGGAGCAACUCUAAUGCUUUGUGAAACAUCUCCUUUAACUUGCAAUCUUCACCAGUUCCCUCAUGCAUUCCACUAGGUAGUGCCGCCUCAACUACAUCCAAAAUUAUUUUGCACUCCUUUGCAGCCUCUGAUAAAUGAAAAAGCAUCAGAACCAUUUAAAACUUACACACCAAUUACGGAAUUCAUUCUAAACCAUCCAACGAGGGCAAUGCCAUCUACACAAUUCUUGAUCUUCAAUAAUAAAACUUGAAUUUUCAAUCAAUUUUAAACAUCCGAUACUUAAAGUUUCAUUGUUACAAUCAAACUAUAUUAAAAGGCUUGUUCAUCUUAAUCCAGACAUAUCCUCAAAAGAAUCAGAAGUUUAAAAGAUCAGUUACCUCUAAAACUGAUUAGGCAAAACCACAAAAUAAUUUCUUGUCAAUUGUAAAGCAAACCCAUUAACAAGUUCCCAGGAGAGAGAAAACGGAAAUACCUCUAAAAUGCCCAAGUUCCUCCAACGAUUUUGCUUUCAGUAAAAUUGCUUCCAUAAGUAAGCUCACUGAAUGCAUUGACAUCACACUAGGCGGGAUAAUGUCACCUUUGGACCGUGGUUUACGUUGUCGGGUUCUCUCAACAAUAGCCAUAGUCAUCCUUGGUGCCAAACCUUUAAUGUCAAUACCCUGAAAAACCUGAAGCGCAGCAUUAAAAUUCCCUCGUUGAUACUCUAGCCUCCCCAACAAUGCCCUUGCUUCCUGCAAACUCAAUCAAAAAGCAAAACUAAUUAACUGCAAAUGAUCAAUAAAUUAAUAGAUUGAUUUGGCAAAAAUAACCCACCUCAUAGUUUAAGGAGAGAGCUUCUUUGAGAGUAGAUUCAACUUCAUCCACUUGAACAUCCUCAAGUUUUGACUCCCAGUCUCCGGUCCGAGAUGAGAGUCCACUGGCCGAGAAAUCUCUGGUCGCCAAUGAUUCCGGUGACUGUGGAGCAUCUUCAAACUUGAAUUGUUCACCUGAGCAAGCACACAACAUCUUCUCCAAAGAAACAAAAAGCCAACAAUUUGGAUGUCAAAACCUGGAAAAUUUUGAAUUUGAACCAUCACAAUCUUAUUGUUUUUGCAAAAAAAAAAAAAAAAAAACCGAUGGAAUUGAAGUUAAACCGAUAUGGAAAUCUGUUACGAAACAGUUACAAGAUAAUAAAACAGAAACGGAAAUCCACAAACAGGUACCAAUUACAGCAACAAUCAGUCAUAAAAAUCAUCGAGCUCAAAAGAAAAAAAAAAAAAAGAGGCAAAAUAUUUAGGACGGGGACAAAGAGUAAGUUAUAGGAAAACAACACAAAGAAGACAAGCCGCAUUUAAAGAGAAGAAGAACAAAGUUCACAGGAAAUGACAAUGGCGAGACGAACAAAGAGAGCAGAGCUUUGGACUUACCAAAAAACCCAGAAAAAACGGUGACCCAGAAAGAGAUCGUUUAUCCUAUGAAAACUACUUUUCCUCGAGAAAAUUCUCGUUUCUCUGUUUUCUGGGUUUGUUUCAUUUAGUUCAUGAUUUUCUCUUUAAAAAAAAUGGAAAGUUUGUGACAACUGAAACCAAAUACUUAAAAAAAGAUUUUUUUUUGCCAAAAAAGAAAGAGAAAAGUGUUAUUUAUUGAUUUAAUUUGCAUGUGUGAAGUUGAAGUAUGGAGGCAAAGGUGGUUUAAAGGGACAAAAAUGUCAAUCCACUCUUUCUCUUUGAUACUUUCCAUUCCAAAACUGCCCUCCCCUGCUACCAUGAUUUGGCUGCUGCGACAGAAGUAAAUUUCGGUAAACCCUACAAUGUGAUCUUUUUGUGGUGAGCUCCAUUGAAACAAAGAUAACAAUGUCUAGAAGAUAAAACCUUUUGGCUUAAUUCUCGUAAUUGAUUAAAGUAACUAAAAACAAAGAUAAAAAUGACUCCUGCAAAGAUAAUAAGUUAAGCUGGAUAAUUGCCCAUAGAUAUAACAAUGUCCGGGAGAUAAAUUUUUACCUAAUGUUACCCACUUCCCAUGCAUAUCCGUAAUAAAUAUAUGCACAUAGUUCAAUUAUCAUGAAUUUUUAUUUUUAUUAAUAUUCAAGAAAUAUAUAAAAUAAAUUUUAAUUUUAAUUUAAUUAUUUUAUAUAAUCAUUUAUAACUUGACAUUCAGCUGCUUGUAAUUUUUUCUUUAAUCCUUACAUUAGGGUUUCAUAUGAAAAGCACAUUGGUUGAGAAGGUCAAAAAUGAAAUUU
rnacentral:lncRNA from 1 species